UUUUCAUAAUUUUUGGCGUUACAGGGGUACAGAAAUGACGGACGCCAUACCAAGUAAAAUUAUACACCCCGAAUUCAAAUAAAUAUUGCUAUAAUAUUUGAAUUAUACACCAUAGAUAUCAUAUAGUAAUUUUUUAACACUGGCAACAAACUUUAAUACACUAUACUCUCUUUAUUUGGGCCAGAGGCCUAGCACACAAACAUGAACAUAAACUAAAUAGCACACAAACACACAACAAUAUGCAUUAUAUAAUUAAAGUCAUGAAUAACUAAGAACUAUUAAUUAAGUAGAGAUCUAUAGGAUCAACAUAAAUAAUCUGCCUUGCCCUUGAGACCCUUGAGAUUGCUCUUCUUUUCAACAACUAUUUCAUCAAUCAAGCCAACUAAAUGACUCUUUAAGGGGGUUGAAAAUGCCAAAGGAUAAAAUUGAUCUUUCCAACCAAAAAAGAAAACAGCACCAAGAGUUUGUUAAUGGCCAUUCAUGCUGUGAAUUGUAAUAAUUCCAACAAGGAAGGCACCAUCUCCGGUGAAUUAAUGAUGAGAACCGACUUUCCAUAGCCACCCUUGUGCCGUAAAAGCUGAUGGCAAAAGGGUGGCUAUCCACAAGGAAAACCAUGCAAAGGAAGCCUCACAUAAAAGGGAAGAGAGGGUUUGUUUUGGAUGGCUUGGCUUAGUGUUUAUAAGGGUGGCCACUUGGUUCUUUUGUCCUUGAUCAUGAUGACAAUUAAAAAGAAUAGUUUAUGUUUUGAACUAGCAAUGAAAAGCAGAUUUAGAAUUUUGAGUUUAGAUAUUCUUGAUGUAAGAAAAAGUAGCAUACUGCUUUUAUGUGAAUUUAUUAAUACAAUACAAAGUUUUAGCAAAUGUUAUUUAAUAUGUCGAAUUCGUAACUAAAACUCUGGCUUUGUCCCUACAAGCAGCAUAUGAAUUUCUAAACUAAUUACAAAUUAAGUUAAUUUAUAACAAUACAUAGCUCUUUGUAUCUAAUCCUAUAAUAACCUGCAAUUUCAUAAUAAUAUACCUUAUGUAUAUAACUAGUUGAAUUGCAUUCGCUGAUAAUUAUUUACAUAAGCAGUGUAUAGAAUUAAACUCAUGGUUGAGUGAUACAUAUUUUUUUUAUUUAUUAUCAAGGGUUUUAGUUUCAAGUUCUAAAAAUAAAAUUAUUUUUAAUCGAUAGAAAAUAUUUUAUGUUUCAAAAUAUUACUUCUUAACAUAAAUAUAAAUGAGAUGGACUUUAAUCUGAGUAUCGAACAUCGAACUAGAAAUAGAAAGAAAGAGCAAGGUAACUUGAGCAGGUAGUAUAUUAUCGCUUUUGGGUAAAGUAAGACCGAAAAAGUAAGUAGGAGAAAAGAGAGAAAUGGAAUAAUGGGAGUGGAGGGGAUUUUCCAUGUAUAUUCCAUUGGCACCUCCCAUGCUCCACAUCACAGAUCUCAUUUCUAUGCUACUUUCGUGAGAAAAGACAUCUUUUCCUCCAAACUUGUCCUUCAAACUCACUUUAUCACUUAAACUUAAUUUCUGUUUAUUUAUCCCCUUAACAUCUUUAAAAUGUAUUAAUUUCACCCUUUAAAACUGAAUACCACUCUUACACCAGAGAGUGUAUUACACUCGCCUACACAUCAGCGCCAUGUCAGCGCCACAUCAAUGCCACACAAGCAAAAUAUUUUUUUUAUAUAUAAAUAUUUAUAUAUAUAUAUAUAUGCAUAUGUAUUUACAGGAAUACAUAUCUGACUCGUAUAUAUAUAUAAUCAUAUAGGACAUAUAUAUAUAAUAUUUUUAGAUAUUUUAAAUAUGAAAAAUACCCCCUUCCCCUUUCAUCUUCUUCAAAUCUGCACACAUAGGAGGAGAAACCAAGAACAAGAAAUUGGAGGAAGAGCCAUGAAUGGACCUAGCUCUAACUUCCUCCACUUCCACUUUCUCAUCAAUCCUCUCCGAACUCAGCACCUUUGCUGGCAACUUCCGACAACCACCACCGCCGUCACUACCACGACGACUGCCACCACAAAAAUUACACUAAAGAAUUUAAUAAAGAUUCUUGAAAAAAGGUAAAAUAUGCAAUAAAAUGUAUAAAUUAUGUAAAUUAAGUACAGUCCAAUUCAAGAAACACUAAAAAGAUUGAAUUUUUGUAAAUAAAAUUGAUAAACAAGAACAAUAACAAUAAUCUUUAUUUUGUCCAUUGACACAAAAUCAACCCCCACAUCCCUUGAUUUCACCCGUGAACACCAGAAACAACAUUCAAAAUACUCCGUCCAUCACCGAAACUCAUUGUUCCAGUGAACCAUGUUGCAAGCUUUUCAAUGAAUUUUUUUUCUUCAUCAAAUGAAAAAUUAACUUGAAUUAACUUGAUAAAAUUCAACAAUGGACUAAAUACAAGUACAUGAUAACAAAAAUACAUCAAUACACAAAAUCUCAAAUUCAAAUUCAUUCACAUUAACCAAAAUUCAAAAUCCCAAAACUCCCAAAUUUUCAAUCUUCUACUCAAAAUGUCUACAGAAAUGACGUAAACAUUCCUAAAUUCAGAAAUGGCAUAAAUGGUAUUUGCAUGACAUGAAAUUCUUGGCCAAGAACCAAACUUGUUCAUCAAUCUUGAAGCCUUUUUGAUUGUCAAAAAAUGAAAUGUUGAAUCAAUUAGGACUUGAUUGGAAGGGGAUUGCAAAGAAACGGGGUGGGGGUAUGAAUAAGAUGAAGAAAUGGAGUGUUGGGGUGAGAUCGGGUAGGGGUGCGCGUGGGGGUGAGGAAGGGGAGUGAUGAAAAAGAUGAAAAUGUCUUCUGAUGAAGACAUGCCCUUUCUGUUUUUUCUUUAUAUAUAUAUAUAUAAAGUGGCCUUUUAAAAAAAAAAAUUCACUCGCUUUUUUUUUUACCACGUCAGUCAUAAGGAUGAAAAUAAUUCACUUUAAAGAUGUUAAAGGGGGUAAAUAAACGGGAGUUAAGUUUAAGUGCUAAAGUGAGUUUGGAGGACAAGUUCAGGGGGGAAAAGAUGUCUUUUCUCUACUUUUGUUAUUCGUUUGUCCGUCCCCUUUGAUUAUUUUAACGAAAAAUCUUUAACGUAUAAAAAAUGUUUUUACAAAUAUUUUCCUCAAAUUAAUAUUCUAGUUCCACGUUUGGUCAUAAAUUUUGAAAAGUUAUCUUUAAAUAUAUGUUUAAACCAUCAAAUUUUGAUAUGAUUUUGAAAAUCCGAUCUUCAAAUAGUUUAAUUUUAAGUUUCUAAAAAUUAGUUUGAAGAAAUUUCACUUUCACCCACAAAACUUUUAAUUAUUUCAAAUAAAAUAUAUGUCAACGCAGAGAUUAUUCCAGUAAAUCGAUGCAUAUCACUAUUAAAAAGUCUUGUUUUAGCUAUGCGAUUUAGUGAGGGACGUCCCUCACUAAUCAAGAUUUAGUGAGGGUGGCCAUCACUACAAGGUGUCUUGCUAAUUUGAGCCUUGCUAAUUAUUAGUGAGGGAGACCCCCGCAAAGUAGUGACGCACUCCGACACUCAGCCAUCGCUAUUUUGAUCUAACAAUUUAUUGAAAAAUAUAAUGUAGGGAGGGAUGUCCCUUGCUAUAUUAAAAAUAUAUAUAAUACUAAUUUAUUAUUUAGUGAGGGAUGACCCUUGCUAUAUUAAAAAUAUAUAUAAUAUUAAUUUAUUAUUUAGUGAGGAAUGGUCCUUGCUAUAUUAAAAAUAUAUAUAAUAAUAAUUUAUUAUUUAGUGAGGGAUGUCCUUUGCUAUAUUAAAAAUAUAUAUAAUAUUAAUUUAUUAUUUAGUUAGGGACAACCAUUGGUACAUGAAAAUUAAUACAAAUUAUAAAUUUAAAUAUAUUGAGGGAUAUCCCUCGCUAAGUCAAAUAAAAAAUUAAUUUGAUAUUUGAAUAUUUUGAGUGAUAUUGCUACAGAAGUCCCUUGCCAAUCUGGUGUUAUUAUUAGUUUUUUUACAGCACCACAACUCAAUGUUUAAAUAUAAAAUUAGUGUACAACCAAUAUUAAUCAGCAAAACAGUAAGAAAAACACCUCCAAAAUAAUUUAAACAUUAAAAUUAAGCAACCAAACUUCAUACAUAUUCAUCCAACUUAAACAAUAUGCAAACAAUCACCAAACAAAUUCUUUCAAACACUCCAAACUAACAAAAUUCAAACCUAAAACAACGCCACCUAGUACUCCAUUCCAUCCUUCUCAUACUCUCCACCAUCAUCAUCAGAGCUAGGGGCAAAGAACGAGGAAGCUUGAUUAAGGUAUUUACUUUAUCCUUGAGUUUUUUGAUGUCUGACUCAAGUGUCGUCCUAUGCCGCUCCUCCUCCAUCCUUUUUUUGUUCCUUCUCGUACUUCCUAGGAAGCUCCCGAACUUCCUGUCGCAUCUCCUCAAACUACUCAUCUGACAUGGUGGCAGAACUCCCUAUACCUUGCAAUCCACACUGAAGAUGGUGAAAGUUCUUCUCAGGGAAAUGGUUGUAUGCCCUUUCCUUAUACACACCCCUAACUAUGUCCAACCAACAGGAGAGAGUUUCUUUCUCUGAUGGCAUGAUUGAAUUUCCUUGGCCAUCUGUCGAUUGACUUCUUUUGAUCUCUUCAAUUGCUUGAACAUAUCGAUUCUACAUUAAAAGUAAAAUUAGUAUAUAAUAAAUGAUAUAAAAUAAAUUCUAAAUAAGAUAUGAACUUACGUAAGUAUCCUCUACCCGUGUUUUGACCUAGACUUCUUUUCCAUCUCUAAUUUUCAUAUGGGUCUUCUUCUCUACCUCUACAUGAAUGACAGGUCUAUCAAGAGAUAUUUCCAGUAAAUGAAAUAAACACAGUAAACCAAAAUUACAUAAAUAAUUUACUACCAUCUAAGUGUAUAAAUAAGUACCAGUUUCUCCAUCCAAAAGCUCUAAAAGAAUAGCCCAAAAAGAGUGACAUUGAUUCCCUGGAUGUUUUAAUUCCAGAUGAGAUGAAUGAUGCAUCAGAUGUUGGUUGCAAAACAACCGUAUCUUCUCAAGUUACCAAACUUAAUUAAAUUCAAAACACAACUUCACAUUUCAAGUACCGACAGUUAACCAUUUUCAAGUAUCCAAUUCACUUCUCAAGUGACCACACUUAAAUAAAAUCAAAACACAAGUGUCACACCCCUUUUUCUACUCCCGAAAGAUAUGGUUAUAAAUUAAUGUUCGAAAGGGUUUUAUUAUUUAAGUGAAAAGAAAUGAAAAUUUGCUUCGGAAAAGGAUUAUUUACAUUUUUUACUCAGAAUCGCCACUUGGCAUAAUCUGGUGUGCCAAGUCACCAUUAGAAAAUCCUUCUCAAAACCAUUCGACCCUUUAAACUGGUUUGCGAACAGAGAUUCUGGCUAAGGAAUUCUGUUGACCGAGGGGAAGGUGUUAGGUAUCUCUCGAUCCCGUGGUUCAACCACGGUCGCUUGGUAGAAUGUAUCGACUAUUUUUGGGCACUAAGAAAUGUAUAAACCGCACAAAAAGUACACAAAAUAAUCAAACAAAACAAAACAAUCCAAAAUGUAAAGUCCAGUCCAAUUAUUACAACCCGAAAUAAAAAAAGAAUUGAAAGUAAACCUACGCUAAUCCUAAACUAAUGCUCUACCCGACGCCUCGGGCCUUCACCACGAAUGUCCUCUGGGUACAUAAUACCUCGGGGCAUGCCCCGGUGAAUAAAUAUAUACAGAUACUUCGGGGUAUUCCCCGGCCAAAUUAUACAAUUGAAUUAAAUACGAUAAACUAGAGAGAAACAUUCACACGCACAUUCCAACAUUCAACCAAAACAUCAAUCUUAAAUUCUUGCCUACCCGAACCUAUAUUGACCUUCCGAUAUCACAACAUAACCACAUUCGAAAUAAUGAAAGGAUAGAGUUAAGGAAUGGGCCUUCCGAUAUCGAAUUUUUGAUGACAAUAAGAGUCAAAAGAAGUCCGAAUCCGAAGGCUCAGAUAGAAAACCUCAACAACGAUGAAACCCCAACUCGGUAUCGAUAAAUAGUAACCCAAAACUGACUAUAAUAUGACACAAUUUGAGAUGAACAAAAGUCAAAUCCCAAACCAACGCGAACCCGGAAUAUUCAAAACAGAGAUCGUGAUAAACUCAACCCAAGUGAGAUUUUCCGUAAGAAAAUGAUUGAAAACAACAAUGAACAAAUGAGCGUUGGUUGUAUCAAUGACGAGAACCCCAAUGCGAAUAACAGAUUUCGGUGAAACUCGCCGUUUUCGACCAGAUUCAACUGGAAUCGAGAUCGUAUUAUCAUUUUCUAUCAUAUUGGAGCUCCAGCAGACACGACAGUCAACGAAAUGGCUCUCUCUCCAGCUAGAUUUCACCGAAGAAAAAAACCAGAAAAAAAUAGAAGAAUGGCUAUUUUUGGGCUACGAACGAACUGAUUUCGCGGGGUAUUCCGAUUCCGGGGAAAAAGAAAAACUCGUCGGAAAAUAGUCAGCUCCGUCCGUUCCCUCUCACUUCAUUACUCUCUCUUGUAUGCCUUCUUCAUUACUCUCCCCUUUUGUAUGCCUGUAUGAUGGUGGAGAAGAAGAAACCCAAAUCCCUUAACAGUGUGUUCGCGGGUGGGUUCUGUGUGGUAUUGUGAACCAGAAAGAAAGAAGAGCAAAAAUUAUGUCCUUUUUCUGUGCUCUCCCUCCAACCAGCUUUUCUUCACUGAUGUGUGUGCGUGAGUUUUUUUUCUAAAAAAAAAGACCUCUGCUAUUGUGAGGAAGAAAGUAUGAAUCGUCCAGAAGAAGGAAAAAAUGGAAUCCCCCUUUUUUUUCCGAUCUGUGUAUGUAUAUAUGUGGUGAGGAUGGGGUAGUGGUGAGGUAGGUAGGGUCACGUGGGGUAGGGGGUAGAGUGUGAUGUGGUUUUUUGAUUGGAUGGGUUGUUAGGAUAUGGUAGGUAUGUGUUGUUUUUUAAUUGGAGGGAUAAGGGUUAGGUGUCUAUUUUUGUUUGGGUAGGCUGCUAGGAUAAGACAAAAUUAGUUAGGGGAUUGUUAUUUUUGUUAUUUGUGGAGGGAUUAUCACACGGGUGAGGGUACACGGUAGGAUAAGGUAAAAAUAGGUAAAACGACAUCGGGGAGGGACGAAAUUAGGUGUCUACAACAAGUUCACCUUUCAAGUAACUAAAUUCAAAACACAAAAUUCAUAAUUCAAGUCCAUACACUUAAACAUUUUCAAGCCAUUAACUCACUUCUCAAGUGACAACACUUAACCAUUUUCAAGUCAUAAAUUCACAUUUCAAGCAACUACACUUAAACAUUUAGAAGUCACUAAUUCAUUUCUCAAGUGACCACACUUAACUAAAAUCAAAACACAAGUUCACCUUUCAAGUAACUAAAUUCAAAACACAAGUCACUAAUUCAUAAUUCUAGUCCAUACACUUAAAUAUUAUCAUGUCACUAAUUCACUUCUCAAGUGACAACACUUAGCCAUUUUCAAGUCAUUAAUUCAUAUUUCAAGUACCUACGGUUAACCAUUUUCAAGUAUCUUAUUCACUUCUCAAGUGACCACACUUUACUAAAUUCAAAACACAAGUUCACCUUUCAAGUAACUACACUUGAACAUUUUGAAGUUAUUAAUUCACUUCUCAUGUGAUCACACUUAACUAAAUUCAAAACAAAAGUUCACAUUUCAAGUACCUACACUUGCACAUUUUCAAAUUACUAAUUCAUUUCUCAAGUGACCACACUUAACUAAAUUCAAAACACAAGUUCACAUUUCAAAUACCUAUACCUAAACAUUUUGAAGUCACUGGUUCACUUCUCAAGUGACCACACUUAACUAAAUUCAAAACACAAGUUCACAUUUCAAGUACCUACACUUAAACAUUUUGAAGUCACUAAUUCACUUCUCAAGUGACCACACUUUACUAAAUUCAAAACACAAGUUCACCUUUCAAGUAACUACACUUGAACAUUUUGAAGUCAUUAAUUCACUUUUCAAGUGACCACACUUAACUAAAUUCAAAACACAAGUUCACAUUACAAGUACCUACACUUAAACAUUUUGAUGUCACUAAUUCACUUCUCAAGUGAUAUUUUGAAGUCACUAAUUCACUUCUCAAGUGACAUUUUGAAGUCACUAGUUCACUUCUCAAGUGACCACAUUUAACUAAAUUUAAAACACAAGUUCACAUUUCAAGUACCUACAUUUAAAUAUUUUGAAGUUAGUAAUUUACUUCUCAAGUGAUCACACUUAACUAAAUUCAAAACACAAGUUCACAUUUCAAGUACCUACACUUAAACAAUUUGAAGUCACUAAUUCACUUCUCAAGUGACCGCACUUUAUUAAAUUCAAAACACAAGUUCACAUUUCAAGUAACUACACUUGAACAUUUUGAAGUCACUAAUUCACUUUUCAAGUGACCACACUUAACUAAAUUCAAAACACAAAUUCACAUUUCAAGUACCUAUACUUAAACAUUUUGAAUUCACUAAUUGACUUCUCAAGUGGCCACACUUAAGUAAAUUCAAAACACAUGCUCACAUUUUAAGUACCUACACUUAAACAUUUUCAAGUCACUAAUUUACUUCUCAAAUGACCACACUUUACUAAAUUCAAAACACAAGUUCACCUUUCAAGUAACUACACUUGAACCUUUUGAAGUCACAAGUUCACAAUUUCAAGUAACUACAAUUAACCGUUUUCAAAUCACAAGUUCCCAAUUUCUAGUAACUACACUUAAUCAUUGUAAAGUCACUACACUUAAUAAUUUUCAAAUAAAUUAUUCACAUUUUAAGUCACUAUUACACAUUUUAAGUCACUACACUCAAACCAUUUUUAAAUUGCUAAUUGAUAUUUCAAGUCACUAUAAUUAACCAUUUUCAAGUAACUACACUUAACCAUUUUCAAGUCACUACACUUAACCAUUUUCAAAUAACUAAUUCACAUUGCAAGUCACUAUACUUAACCACUUUCAAGUAACUAAUUCACAUUUGAAGUAACUACUCUUAACCAUUUACAAGUCACGAUACUUUAACCAUUUCCAAGUAACUACGCUUAGCUAAUUUCAAGUCACUAGUAGACAUUUCAAGUCACUACACUUAAUCACUUUAAAGUCACUAGUAUACAUUUCAAGACACUACAUUUAAUUAUUUUCAAGUCAAAAGUUCAUAAUUUCAAGUAACUUAGUUCACAUUUCAAGUGACUACACUUAAUCAUUUUCAAGUCACAAGUUCACAAUUUCAAAUGACUACACUUAAUCAUUUUAGAGUCACUAGUAUACAUUUCAAGUCAUGACACAUAACCAUUUUAAAGUCAUAAGUAUACAUUUCAAGUAACUAUACUUAAUCAUUUUCAGGUCACAAGUUCACAAUUUCAAAUAACUACGCUUACCCAUUUUCAAGUAACUAAUUCACAUUUCAAGUAACUUCACUUAACCGUUUUCAAGCUCAGAAGUCUUUAGCUAAAAUAUUAGGUAUAGUCCAUAUCUAAUCAAAGCUAAUGCGAAGACUAACACAUUCCACCACGCUUGUCUAUCCAGCAAGAAACAAUGUACUACCUAAUUACAAAACACACACUGCCAACUAAAAAUUCCUAAAACUACGCUAAAAUCAUCAACAAGAUCCCCGAAAAUAAAAAUUGACUCAAUAUAUAAAUUCAUACAGAACUAUUCAAUUAAAAAAAACAUCACUACUAAGGAAACAGAGCAUUCCUAAUUUUGUCAAUCAAUCAAGAUAUCAGAAAUCCACUUAGUUAAAGACUUAGAGUAUCAACUAUUGAUGAAUUUGACUUAUUAGAAAAUACAAUUCAAUAAACAAUGAAAAAAAGGAAAAAUUAAAAAAGAAAAAAAAAGCUACCUCUCCCAUUGAACAGAGCAUCUAAAGUAGCUAAAAGAGAGCCUAUUGAACGAAGCUGCAGAAAACAGUAAACCGAUAAAACGUAUGAAUUUCCCAAUCCAUGAAUCCAAUAUAAAAAACCCACAAAAACGAAAAAGCACCUCUCAAAAUAGUGGUUGUAAUAACUGAAGAACAAAUUUAAGAGAAACUGAAGAAAUACAUGGCUUUGUCAAUUAAAAAAUUAAUUAAGUUUGAAACUUAAUCUAAAAGCUAAGUAUAGAUAGAUCGAAGAAGAAAGAAAAAAUGGAAAAUCACCUUGGUAAUCUACUCAGCAGGGGUUGUGCAAGCGACGUCUAAACUUUCUUCUCAAAUUUUUCUUUCGCUAAAGCGAUGGCGCUGUAGGAGACGAUUUUAGAGUGGUUUGGUGGUUGGCUGGAGAAUAGUGAGAGGAGCCAAUGGCGGCGCGAUGCCUGCCAGCCAGUCGUAUGGCUUCUGCUAGCAGUGACAACAACAGAUUUUGUUGAAGGGAAAUAUUUAAGUAAAAGGGAGUUAGGGUUUAUUAUUUUGUUUAAAAGGAGAGAAAAUGAUGAUGGGAUCUCAGCCGUUAGAUCAAUUUUGAUCCACGGCUAAGAUUAAAAGAAUUAAAAAAGUGGUCUAAAAUUGAAGCUUUAUUUGGAGAUCAAAAUUUAUAUCAAUUUGACUAAAAUUGACAUUAAUUGGGUACAAAAAUGGCUAAAAAUUAAAGGCAUGGAGAAAUUAAAUUAAAUUGGCUGUCAUUUUAAUAAUAAUAAAAAUAAUAUUAAAAUAAUAAUAAUAAUAAUAAUAAUAAGACCAAAUGUUUGUAAAAUCACGAGUGUGAACAUCAAAUAAUUUAAUGAAUAUUAACAAAUUAUGUAAAAACUAUUUCAUUUAAAUUGAUAAAUUGUAAAAAAUGAUAUGAUAAUAAAAUUAAUAAAAUACUUUGUAUAUUUUUUAAAUCAUGAAUAUGACAAGUAAAUAUUUAUUUGAUCCAAGAAUAAUGUAUAAAAAAUAUUAAUAUUUAAAACUAAUAAUUUUUACAAAACAACAACCUAAAAGGAGUAUCGGGCGGUCAAAAUUGGGUGUCAACAUAUACUACAAAUAAAUUUUGAUUAAUUAAUUUUUUAAUAUAGUAUUAUAUAUAUAUAUAUAUAUAUAUAUAUAUAUAUAUAUCGUAAUACAACGUAUUAAUCUGAUGAACUAUCGGUUAAUUAGCUUCAUUAUUAUAACUUCAACUGUGCAUUGUUACAUCGAUCAUAUGAUGUUAACGUAUUAUUCAAAAUAUUUGGAUAUAUAGAUUCAGUUAGCCAGCUUUCGACUACUUUGUACAUCACUACACGAGAGAUACGUAUAUAUACAUAUUAAAAAAUUAAAAUUUUAAUGAAUUGCAUAAUAUUUAUAAUAACAUUCAAAUAAUUCAAUAUAAUGUAUAUAUAAAUUGGAUAAUUAGUUAUAUUAUAUAGAGAAAAGACAUUAUUUCCCCCUUGAACUUGUCCGCUCAACUUACUUUAGUACUUAAACUAAACUUCUGUUUAUUUAACCCCCUUAACAUUUUUAAAGUGAAUUAGUUUCACCCCUCAAGUUGACGUGAAAUUUUUUUAAAAAGAAAGGAAAAAAACACAUUUUUUAUUUUAAAAACUGAGAUGAUCUACUAUUUUCAAUAUAUAUAUAUAUAUAUAUUAAAAGAAAAUACUCCUUUCUUCUUCAAUACCCCCCACCCCCUUUACCUCUCAUCCCCACCCCGCACACCUACACCCCAUACCCCACACCAUUUCUUCUUCAAUACAUCAAUAAACAACAACACCCAUUUUCUACAACCAUUAAUUCCACCAUUAACAACCUCAAACACAUACUCCAACAACACUUUCCUUUAUUUUUUUUUAUUUUCCUCCAUUAAUACAUUCUCCAACGAAGAAAUUGAAGACAUUAAAUUGUUUCAUUAAUUUUGUUUGAAGAAUAACAAAAUUGACAAAAAUUUUUGUAGCAAAGUUCAUUGUUCCUUCUCUAUUAUUUAUUUAUGUUUACAUUUCCAAGGGUAAAUUUGGUGGCUGAAAACAUUGAGAGAGUUGGAUUAAAGGUUGAGAUGAUGUUUAAUUAAGGAAAAAUUCUAAUUUGAUGUUUUUGUGAUUGUUCUCUAAUGAUGUUAAUUAAGGAAGAUAAAAAAAAUUGGAGGUGGGGAUGGGGGUUGGCUGGAAGAGGAGAAAGAAAAAGAGGGGGUGAAAGAAAUAGAGGGGGAGGGGACGGGGGUGGGUGGUUUGAAGAAGAAAAAAAAUGAAGGGUGGGGGUGGAGGAAAAUUGAAAUUGAAGGUGGGGUGGGAGGUUGUUAAUGUAGGAAAAUAGAAAACAAUGGAGGUGGGGUGGGUUUGAUGGAGAAGGAGAGCUGGUGGGUGGGAGGGGGAGAUGGUUUAAAGAAAAAGAAAAUGGGGUAGGAGGUUUUAUUUUUAAUUUGAUAUAUAUAUAUAUAUAUAAAUACUUUUCUUGCGUGGUUCCGACAUGGCAGUAAUGUGACGCUGAUGUGUCCACGUGUGUGAUGCACUCUCCAUGGUGAGAGUGGUAUUCAGUCUUGAGGGGUGAAAUUAAUUCACUUUAAACAUGUUAAGGGGGUAAAUAAAUGGAAGUUUAGUUUAAGUGCUAAAGUAAGUUGAGAGGACACGUUCGGGGGGGGGGGGGAGGGGUCUUUCCCCUUUUUUAUAUACAUACACACGCGCACAUUCUCUCUAUCGACUAUCAUGUUCUAAAUACGUAUCAUAUACAUCACAUACACUAGUAUAUUACCCCAUAAUGUGACAUCUUUCAUACAUAUUUUGAUGAGUUAUCGAUUAAUUUGAUUUAGCUUACAUUAAUAUAACUUUAAUGUAAAGUAUAUUCUUACUUCGAUUGUUUCAUAUCAAGGUAUUCAAUAUAAAUUUGGAUACAUUCAAUUAGCUUGUGGCUUUUUACAAUAUACACACACACAUACUCAUUAUCGAUUAUCAGGUUCUAAAUACGUACUAUAUAUAAAUCACGUAUACAUGAGUAUGUUAUUACCCCAUAUGCAAUGUAUAUAUAUACUCUGAUGAAUUAACGGUAUUAAAUAUAUUAUUUAACUUCGACACUAUAGUAUUAAUACCGCGUUCGUAUGAUAUUAACAUACUAUUCAAUAUGUUUAGAUAUAUUCAGUUCGUUUUCCACUUCUCCGUACAUAGAUCACUGCAUGAUAUAUAUGUACAUAUACAUAGAUACAUAUUAACUUUUGAAUACCUACUAUCUACAUCACAUGCAUGAGUAUAUUACCUCAUGUGGACGAUUUUUCAAAUACUUUUCUUCUAAAAUUUUCUUAAUUGCUAGAGACCACAUGUGGUCGCUUUUUGCAUAAUAUAUUUGUUUUAAUGAAAACUGACCACUUGUGGUCGUUUUUUUCUAAAAUAUUUUUUUUAAUUGAAAAUCGACGUAGCUUUUUCAAAUAUUUUUAUUUUUCUUUUUUUAAUCGUGAACUGGCCACAAGUGGUCGCUUUUUGCAUAAUAUUUAAAAUUUAUUUUUUUAAUAAAAAAAGACCACGUGGUUGCUUUUUCAAAUUAUUUUUAUUUUAAUUAAAAAUCGACCACAAGUGGUCGUUUUUUGAACAAUUGACCACAAGUUAUCGCUUUUUGCAUGAUAUCUUUAAUUUUUUUUUAAAACGACCACUUGUGGUUGCUUUUUCAAAAUUAAUUUUUUUACAAAAAUUAAUCAAGUGGUACUUCAUUUUUUUUUUCAAUUGUAAAUCGGCCACUGUUACUAAAUUUUUUCUAAAUAAAUAACAAUGGAGAGUUGAGAUAUAAAACUCAUGAACACCCAUAUAUGUGAGUUGUAAAUUAGUGAUUCAGUAAAUUCAUGUAAAAAGCAAUUACAUUGUUGAAUUAGAAUUACUAAAAAGGCGAAUUUUGUAAUUUAUUUUACCUCUAAAAUAUUGAUAUCUUGAAAACAUUUGUGGAUUACGAUACUCCAACCAAAAUAUAUUAGGAUAGUAUGAAUUAUGAGGGGUAUUUUUUAAUCUUUUUUAUCUUUUGGAUAAUGCUUUGUUUUAAUCCUUUGACCUUACAUUUUUUUUUUCUGAGAAUAUGAGUUUUUGAAAAAGUUUUGGAUUAGAAUACUUCCUAGCCAAAGUAAAUCAGGAUAAUACUAUUUUGCGUUAUUCUUUGAUAAUUUUAUCUUAAUUGAACUUAAUAUUUAAGGGUAUAAAAUCCUUCAAUAUUUGAAGGAUAUUUUAGUCAACCAACAUUUAUAUUCAUAUUUUUAUAAUAGUAUAGAUAAAUGGAUAGAUAUGUUGAUAAAUCAAUAAUAAUUUCUAUAAGUAUUAUUAAUACAUUUAUACGUAGUAUAGUUGUCAAUAUAUAUAUAUAUAUAUAUAUAUAUAUAUAUAAUCGUCUUUUCACUAUUUUUUUUCUAAUAUUUAAAAGUUGAAAAUUAAUUAAAUAUAUUUAAUAGUAAAACCUUUUAUUACUAGAAGACAUCAAAAUUAAUGACAACUAAUAUUUUUUUCAUUAGUUUAAGAAUUCUAGAUCAACUAAAAAAUAAAAACCUGUAAUAAUUAUACAUAAACACUAAUUUAUAUUAAACCUAAUACUCUAAUACUAUAUUUAAAGAAAAAUCCAAAAGAAAUUCCCCUACAUUCCCAAAGCAUUGUGGUUUUCUGAAAAAAAUUCCUUACAAAUCCUUUUCGUAUUUUUCUACUACCUUAUAAGUUUUCUUUUUUAUUUUUAAUUUUAAUAAAGGACUUAUUAUAAGUUAAAUAGGAGUUCAAAAUUUAAUAUUUUUUUGAUUUUCUAAAUAUACGGGAAGAAAUUAUUAAAACUCCUAUAUUCCUCGCAUAAAAUUCUAAUUAUACAUAAACACUAAUAUAUAUUACAAAAAUUAUAAUACUCAAAAAGGCAAAAACAUGUAGAGCCAAAAAGGCAAAAACGUACCUUUUUUAAUUUUUUUUUUACUUCCUUUACUCUUUUUAGUCCAAAUUCAAUGGUCUUUUCCUAAAAUUCUAAUACAAAUUAGUCAAAGUCCUUAUUUUAUUUAAGUAACAAAUCAUAAUAUUUAACACGCUUAAAUUAAUUAGAAUUUUACCUUAUAUUAAAAAAAAUCUACAAAUCUAUUUAACUAAUAUUUUGAUCAUACUUAACUACAGAAAUACAACCUUUCAUCUCCUUCUGCUUUUCUUUUUAUUUUGAAUUUUAUUGAUUUUAAUUUUAAUUCAAUUUGUCUUCUUACAUUCAUUAUUGUCAUUCUUCUUUCUUUAUUCUUUUUAGUUAAUGAAUUUAAAGAUUAUAUAUGAAUUAUGUAUAAUCAACAAUUGGCAUGUAUUACCAGCAUGGGUUGUGGUGCAGUGGAUGGGGCUGCUCCAUCCUUAACCAGAGGUUGAGGGUUCGACCCUGGAUAUGGAGAAAACUCUGUUGGGAGCGUUACCAUCUUAAUGGGCCCUGCAACGCGCGAUCUGGAUUAGUCGGGGCUCUAACGCAAGUAUCGGACAACAGAUGAGAAACCAAAAAAAACAUUGGCAUGUACACUUUCAGUUGCAAUUUUUUGCUAGAAAAUUAAAAUUGGACAAAACAUACGUGUUGUCGCCAAAUGAAGUAGCCAAAAAAAUUAAAGAUUUAUCUCACCAAAAAAAUCAAAGUUUAUAUUACAUGUUUGGUGAUUUUAUUUUGAUUGUUGAAAGUUUUACUCCUUUUAAAGAUAUUUGAUAGUUUAUACACAAAUUUAAAAGGCAACAGUAUAUAGCCCUAUUAUCAUAGUUAUUGCUUUUUUUUUUUCCUCUUUGAAGCGCUUCAUUAAAAAUCUUUGCAAUAGACAAAAUUGUCUAAUUUUAAAAAAUCAAAAGUUACACGUGCGAGACACGUGUGUUUAAACUAGUAUAUAUAUAUAUAUUCGCUAAUAUUACUUAAUGAUAUCACUAAUAUUUACGGUUAGUAUAACUGUCAAUGUAUAAUUAAGCAGAAAAUAAUUUUUCUAAAAAAUCACUAAUAAACUUUACUUAAUUUAACUAUCAUAUAAAUUAAUCAAUCAAUAUUAUUUUAAUAUAGAUAUUAAAGAUACACUUUUAUUUUGCUGUAAUUAUUGAUAUAUAGAUUAAUCAAUCAAUAAUAUUUAUAGUUAUCAAAUUAUAAGACGAUCAGUCAAUAACAUUACAUAAGAUUAUCAUUAAUUUACUUUUAUUUACUACAAUAUCAACUAUAAGCUAAUCAAUUACUUAUUGUAUUACUUAUAACACUAAUAUACCUCUUUUUUUCCAUUAUCAAAUUAAUUAUAAGCUAAUAUAAUUCAUCAACAUUUAUUAAGAAUACCACUAAAAUAUUUUUACUUAUUCUAAUUAUCUCUAUCUAAGCUAUUCAUUCAAUUAUAACAUUUUAGAAAGUAUAUAUAUAUAUAUAAUUGAUAUCAUUAUAUUUUUUCUAUAAAUUUAUAAUAUGGUUGUUUAUUAAAUACUCAAGUUUACAUAUUUAAUUUAGUGAGAUACUUUCCUCAUGACAAUGAAAAAAAUCACAAAAUAAUUAUAUGUAUCGUAUUGAGGACUCCUUGAAUAACUUAUAUUUCAUUUUCAUUUAUUCUUUACUAAUGCUUCAUUACCAGCUAAAAAAAUUCAUAAAUUAUAUUUAAAUUUUCUUUGAAAUAUGAAUUUAUUUUUUAUUAUUUAGCAAGGAAAAUCCAUCACUAUAACAAAUUUAAUAUUAUUUUUUUAUUAUCAUCAUAUUUUAGUGAGGGAUGUCCCGCUCCGUCUUUUAAAACAGAUGAAGAUUAAAAUAUUAAAAAUUAUAAUUAAAUUUUCUUUGAAAUAUAAAUUUAUUUGUUAUUAUUUAGCGAAGGAAAUUCCUCGCUAUAGCAAAUUUAAUAUUAUUUUUUACUAUCAUCAUUUUUUUGUGAGGGAUGUCCCUCUCCGCCUUUAAAAAAAUGAAGAUUAAAAUAUUAAAAAUUAUAUUUAAAUUUUCUUUGAAAUAUGAGUUUAUUUGUUAUUAUUUAGCAGGGGAAAUCCUUCGCUAUAACAAAUUUAAUACUAGUCUUUUAUUAUCAUCAUAUUUUAGUGAGGGAUGACCCUCACAAUAUCAACAUACAAUUUGUCCCUCGCUAACCAUGGUAGCUAAUAGCCAAGUUUUAGUAGUGUAGCUAAGACUUUCAUAUCAUGCUGACCCUCCGAAAAACAACACAGCUUCAAGUUCUGAAAUUCAUAACUAUAAUAGCUUUAAAUUUCAAGUUUCAACUUCAAACUCUAUGGCCAAACAUGAACACAAUUUUAUGUCUUUUGCAAUUUAAAAUAUCCACAUGAUUUGGGAUAAUUGGCAACUAUACUACUUAAUUUAAAAGUUAAAUCGGAAAAGGGCCAAAAUAUCCCUGAACUAUUCAAAAUGGAACAAAAAUAUUCCCUAGUUAAUUUUUGGCUAAAAAAAUAUUCCCUCGUUAAAUUCUUGGCUCAAAAGUACCCCUCUUUAAAUGAAUAACACCAAUGCCACACGGACAAAGAAAGCUACAUGGUCAGUCUACGUAAACAUCCACAUGAAAAAUCACCCCAUUUAUCAGCCCAAACUCAAUUUUCAUGUUUGGUUCAACCAAAGUAAAUAACAACUAUUACGCUCAUAAGAAUUAGAAAAUCACCCCAAGAACCAAAGAGCAAAAAAAGAGCUUUAUUUAAAACAAUAAAUCAACCUCAAAAUAAGCAACAACACUUGAAAUUGAUAAAUUAGUAUCCUUGUUGAACACAAUACUUGAGUUAGUUGGGGACUUGUCCCAUUAACUCCACAUUUUAGAUAGUUUAGAGGCUUAUCAGACUAGAGUAUUUUUAGACAGUUGUUUUUAAGCAUUCAGAUUUCCGUAUACAUUAUUGUUUUUAGAUUUGAACCUUAUGGCAGUUUACGUAUUUACUUCCUUAUUUUGUUAUUACAACGUCUUUAUUAUCCAGUGCUCACUACAGGUACCAGGCAUGGGUUAGCUAGUGGUCCUUCGGGCUUUCUUAUUUUGUUAUUACAACGUCUUUAUUAUUCAGUGCUCACUACAGGUACCAGUCAUAGGUUAGCUAGUGGUCCUUCAGGAUUAGUAGCGCCGUGUAGCUUCUGGGGUACAGACUCGGGGUGUUACAAAACUUAGUAUCAGAGCCUAAGGUUCAACAGAGUCCUAGAAAAUCUGGAAGCCGCAUCUAGUAGAGUCUUGUGCAUGGGUGUGUAGUGGACCACAUUUAUGGAUAGAAGGCUACGAGAUGUUUUAGGAAUAGUUUUUCUUCUUUCAGUAUUCAUGUCAUGCGAGUAAGCAUGAUAUCUAGUUAAACUCUUUAUCUAAUCUAAGUUUAUCUUCCAUUUACAAAUCAGCCUCCCAAGUAAACUAAGCGAGGAAAAAUGGGAGACCAGCCAGAACCCUAGCCCAUCGAGGCAGAUCCUCUCCCAUGCUGACUUUAGAAUAACUUUCACCACCUUAGCUCAUGCUGUAGCAGCCCAAAAUAAGUGCCCAACUGUUGUUCUGGCCAAUACAGUGUCUAACACAGUGGCUGCUAGGAUUCGGGACUUCACCCGAAUGAACUCUUCAUCUCUAUCGAGUCUAAGUCAGAUGAGGACCCUCAGGAAUUUAUUGAUCAGGUGCAGAAAGUUAUUGAUAUUAUAAGGGUGACGGUUAGUGAGAGUGCUGAGCUAUCUGAAUAUCAAUUACAGGAUGUGGCUCACUCGUGGUUCAAAUAGUGGAAAGCAGAAAGGGCCGCAGACAUAGGGCCCAUAGAAUGGGAGAAGUUUCCCACUGCUUUUCUAGAUAGGUUCUUCCCAUAAUAGUUGAGGGAAGCAAAGGCUCUGGAAUUUAUCAAUCUAAAGCAGGAAAAUAUAAUGGUAAAAGAGUAUUCUCUAAAAUUUACUCAAUUAGCCAGAUAUGCUCUCAUGUGGUAGCAUAUAACAGGUCUAAGAUGAGAAAGUUUGCAUCUGGGUGAAUGAUAUUAUGGUUAAGGAGUACAGAAUUGCAAUGUUGAUUAGUGAGAUGGACUUAUCUAGACUGAUGGUCCAUGAUCAACAUAUCAAAGAACAGAAGAAUAAAGAGAGAGAGAAGUAGAACAAGAGGGCUAAAACAGGUAGUUUCAACUUUGCUUAGCCUAUGUCGGAGGGUGGGAAUCAUUCUCAGUUUCGCCUAAAAUCUUCAGUUCCAGCCCCGUCCUCAGCUAGUGCUCCAGUGCCAAAAUUUAGAGAUGGACACAGAGAUAGGGCAUCAGGCCUUAAACUUCAGGGUAGUAUUAGCAGUGCCUAAAUAAAUCUUCUCUACCAGCAGUGUGACAGAAACUAUCAGGGUGUCUGAAGAGUAGGAAGUGAUGUAUGUUUUAGAUAUGGAAAGCCAGGCUACAGAGUCAGAGAUUGUCCCCAGUCAGCUUCCCAGGUCAUCGUAACCAUCUUCUAGCUCAUUCCAGUUACUCGAAUCAGUAGGGUGCCUCAUCUAGUGCCACCAGUGGGCAGCGCCCAACCAGACUCUAUGCUAUUCAGUUCCAACAGGAUCAGGAAAAUUCUCCUGAUGCGGUCAUUGGUACGUUACAAGUUUAUCAUUUGCAUGUUUAUGCUCUACUAGAUCCAGGAGCUUUUUUGCCUUUCGUUACUCCAUAUAUAGCAGUUGAUUUCAGAGUCAGUCCUAAAAUCCUAGUAGAGCUUUUCUCAUUCUCUACCCCAGUGGGUAAAUCCAUCAUAGCCCAACAGAUAUACAGGAACUGUUCGAUUGUGGUAUCUCAGAAAGUCACUUCAGCAGACUUAGUCGAAUUAGAGAUGAUUGAUUUUGAUGUCAUUCUCGGCAUGGAUUGACUUUAUUCCUGAUAUGCCUCAGUCGACUGCAGAAACAAAAUUGUACAGUUUCAGUUUUCGAAUGAACCCAUCCUAGAGUGGAGGGGUAGUACUUCAGCACUUGGGGUUCAGCUUGUUUCUUACCUUUAGGCUAGAAAAAUGAUAUCUAAGGGGUGUGUCUACCAUCUUUUUCGAGUUCAAGACUCCAGAUCAGAAACCCCUACUCUUGAAUCAGUGUCAGUAGCUUGCGAAUUCCCAGAGGUGUUUCCCAAAGAUCUUCCUGAAGUCCCUCCCGAAAGGGAAAUUGAUUUCAAAAUUGAUCUCCUUCUAUAUACUCAGCCCAUCUUUAUUCCGUCAAACAGAAUGGCUCCAGCAGAACUCAGAGAAUUAAAAAAGCAGUAAAAGGAUCUCUUAGACAAGGGAUUCAUCAGACCUUGUGUAUCCUCGUGAGGCGAACCCAUUAUAUUCAUGCAAAAGAAAGAUGAUUCUCUCAGAAUGUACAUUAACUAGCGUCAGUUAAACAAAGUUAUGGUCAAGAACAAGUAUCUACUUCUAAACUAAAUGAAUUGUUUGACCAACUUUAGGGUGCCAACUAUUUCUCUAAAAUAAACUUCAAAUUGGGCUAUCGUCAGCUCAGAGUCUGGGAAUAUGACAUCCCAAAAACAGCCUUUAGAAUUUGGUAUGGUCACAUCGAAUUCGUAGUCAUGUCCUUUGUUCUUACCAAUGCCCCAGCAGCUUUCAUAGACUUGAUGAACCAUAUGUUCAAGCAGUACUUGGACAUAUUUUUCAUAGUCUUCAUAGAUGAUAUUCUUAUUUACUCUCGCAAUGAACAUGAUCAUGUAGACCAUCUCAGAAUAGUAUUACAGACUCUUAGAAACCAUCAGCUUUUUGGUAAAUUCAAUAAGUACAAAUUUUGGUCAAGGCCAGUAGCUUUUCUCGGCCAUAUAGUUUUCGAUGAUGGCAUUAGAGUUGAUCCCCAAAAGACCAAAGCAGUAAGAAACUGGCCCAGAACCAUCUCUCUAUUAGAUAGCAGAAGUUUCUUGGGUUUGGCUGGCUAUUACCGAUGGUUUAUUGAGGGAUUUUCAUCUAUUGCAUCCCCUAUGUCUAGAUUGACUCAGAAGAAGGUCAAAUUCUAGUGGUCAGAUUCUUGUGAGAAGAGUUUUUAGGAGUUGAAGACUCGACUCACUAGAACUCUAGUUUUAACCCUACCAGAUGGUUUCGAUGGCUUUAUUGUGUACUGUGAUGCAUCUAGAGUAGGUUUGGGUUGUGUUCUUAUGUAGAGAGGUAAGGUCAUAAACUAUGCCUCCAGACAGCGUAAACCCCACACGAAGACUAUCCUACUCACUAUCUUGAGUUAGUAGCAGUAGUUUUUGCCUUAAAGAUUUGGAGGCAUUACUUGUAUGGGGUGCACAUUUAUGUAUUCACAGAUCAUAAGAGACUGCAAUAUAUGUUCUCCCAGAAAGAUCUUAACCUCCAUCAGAGAAGGUGGUUAGAGUUGUUAAAAGAUUAUGACAUGAGUGUGCUAUACCAUUUAAGCAAGGCUAAUGUAGUGGUUGAUGCUCUCAGUAGGUUGUCUUUGGGUAGUGUUUCUCAUGUUAAGGACAGUAAAAAGAAGUUAGCUUAGGAAGUCUAUAAAAUUGCCCAACUAGGUGUCCGCUUAGUCAUCUCAGUAGAAGAUAGUGUGUGGGUUCAUAAUAGUUCAAAAUCAUCUCUAGUUUUCAAAAUAAAGAAAAAAUAGAAUAGAGAUCCCAGUUUAAAUAAGCUAAAAGAGUCAGUCAGUGAUUAGAAGGUAGAGGUUUUCUCCCAAGGGGGAGAAGGCAUAUUGCAUUGUCAAGGUUGUCUAUGUGUGUCGAGUGUAGAUGACUUGAGGCAGUGAAUUCUUGUAGAGGUGCAUGGUGCCCGUUACUCUAUUCAUCUAGUGGCCACAAAUAUGUACCGCGAUUUGCAGGAAAUCUAUUAGAGGAGUGGGAUGAAAAGAGACAUUGCAGAGUUUGUAGCUAGGUGCUCUACAUGUCAGUAGGUUAAGAUUGAGCAUUAGAAACCUAGUGGGUCCAUGCAGGAGUUUAGCAUUCCUACUUGGAAGUAGGAAGAUGUGAACAUGGACUUUAUAAUAAGUUUGCCUCGUACUCAUCGUCAGCAUAAUUCAGUUUGGGUCAUUAUAGACAAGAUGACCAAAUCAACUUAUUUCUUACUAGUCCAUACCUUUUAUUCAGCUGAGGAUUAUGCCAAAUCCUAUAUUAGGGAGUUGGUCAGAUUGUACGAUGUUUCAUUAUCCAUUGUCUCAGAUAGAUGUACGCAGUUCACCUCUCAUUUUUGGAAGGUAUUCCAAAAGGGUCUUGGUACCCGAGUUUACCUCAGUACCGCUUUUCAUCCUCAGAUAGAUGGUCAGGCAGAAAGGACCAUCCAGACUUUAGAAGAUAUGGUACGAGCAUCUGUGAUUAAUUUUAAAGAUAGUUGGGAUGACCACUUGUCUUCGAUUGAGUUCGCAUAUAACAACAGGUAUCAUUCAAGCAUUUAGAUGGCUCAGUUUGAGGUGCUUUAUAGAAGGAGAUGUAGAUCUCCCAUUGGUUGGUUCGAAGUGGGUGAGGCCACGGUGAUAGGUCCUGACCUGGUAUUUGAUGCCUUAGAAAAAGUUUAGUUGAUCAAAGAAAGGCUUAAGACAGUUUAGAGCCGACAGAAAUCAUACACAGACGUGCGCAGAAAGGAUCUCGAGUUUGAGAUUGAUGACUAUAUGUAUUUAAAAAUCUCUCCUACGAAAGGAGAAAAGAGGUUUGGCAAGAAGGGGAAAUUCAUUCCCCAAUAUGUUGGUCCUUAUCGAAUUCUCAGCCAUUUUAGAAAAGUAGCUUAUGAGGUUGAGUUGCCUUCAGAUCUAGCUUAAGUCCAUCCAGUGUUUUAUGUCUCCUUGCUAAAGAAAUGCAUAGGUGAUCCAGCAGCCUUAGUCCCGAUAGAUGGCAUAGACAUUCAGAACAGUCUCUCUUAUAAAGAGGUUCCAGUCGAAAUCCUUGACUAUCAGAUUCGUAGACUGAGGAACAAAGAAGUCCCUCUAGUUAAAGUUCUUUGGUGGAAUCAUUCCGUUUAGGGAGAUACUUGGGAAGCAGAAACAUAUAUACGGACCAAGUAACCUCACCUCUUCUCUACCAACUCAGAUUUAGCUCAAGGUAAAAGUUUUCCUUAAAACUUACUCAGAAUUCCCUUGCAAAACUUGGUAUCAGUUACCAUUGCAUAUUUAGUCAUGCAUUCAUGAAUUUUUUUCAGUCAUGUAUUCAUUGCAUUCAUAUAUGCAUAUUCAGUAUACAAACCCAGUUUGUCAGUAUAUUCAGUCAUGUAUUUGUUAUAUUGAGAAAUGCAUGUUCAGUAUGAAAAACUCAGUAUAUAUGUAGUUUCAAUCAUGUUUCAUUGUUCAUGUCCAGUAAAUAAGUUCAAACAUUAGUAAUCUCAGCUUAGUCAGCCUCAUUCGAGGAUGAAUGUUCCCAAGGGGGAGAUAUUGUAAGACCCCGCAAAAUUCUAAGCUUGACUCAGUCCUUUAAAGCCUACUAAGGGGUCCCAGACUUAGAAAAUUUUGCUAAGUAUUUAUUCUUAGAGUCACUUUACCCUUCGUAGUUUGGCAAUCGUUGUUCACGACCGUCCCAACCUUUUUUGUCAAUUUUCAUAUUGAUUCAUAAUCAGGGUCACUUGUAGGUCAUCUCGAGUGAGUUUCAGGUUUUUCCAACUAGUGUAAGGGCGAGUUUUGAUGCUAAAAAUAGUGAGGGGUCGAGACGGCCCUGCAUCGCGAGGCCCAGUCAACCCAUCUAGGGGUCGCGUCGCGAUAGGUAUUCAACCCAAGUAGGGAUCGCGAUAUGAGUGGCAGCCCAAUUCAGCAAAUUUUAGUUAUGGGUUUGGGGGUAAAUUGGUCAAUUUCCCCACCCCAAUUCACCCAAAAAUAUGUAAUUAAGCCCUAUUCACCAAAAGUAUACUCACUUUCUCUCAAACUCUCUCAAGAACAAGCAUUAUGAUUUUCAAUUCAAGAUUCAAAUCUCAAGAAUUCUACCAUCAAUCUUCUAAAAAAAGCAUAAAGGUAUGUGAAGUGUUCAUACAAGGGCCCCUUUCACCCUUGGAGUUCCAGAAACCUUUUUAAAAUCUUAAAUCAUGAUUUCCAUGUUGUGGAUUAUUUGUAUUCAUGUUAGUCUUGUUGUGUGAUCUCCAAGAUGAUGUCUUUAAUGAAUUUCAUGAAUUUAUGUUAGCAUGUGGGUUGAAAUCUUUGAAAUUGAAGUGAUUAAUGUAGCCAUGCUGUAUUGAAUUAUUAUUCAUACCCAAGUACAAUGCGAUGCCUCCCAUGUGUUUGCCAAAAUGCCUAUGUGAAUUAUUAGUGUAUUUAUGACAUGAUAGCAUGCAUCCCUAUACAUGUACAACUUUUAAGAUUUACAAGUGUUUGAUGAAAUGCCAUAUAAAGUGAAUUAUGAACAUGUGACCAUUUUUAUGCCUUCAAGAUUUAUGUUACGCUUUAAUCUUUACGCUAUCGAGUCUUGGGGGUAUUUAAUGCCCGAUAAUUUAGCUUUAUACCUACAGCCAGUGUUAGUUACAGAAUAGCCUCAGUCAGGUCACAAUCAGUGGUACUUUUAGUCAGUUUUAGAAUUUAGGAAUACUCAGUAAACUCAUUAAUAUUCCAGUCCAGUUCAGUAUUUAGUUCAGUCCACAGUAAAUUCAGUCAGUUAGCAAGAUUCAGUAGUAUUCCUUCAGUCAACGAAAUUCAGAAAACUCAGUCUAAUUCAGUCAAAUAAUAUAAUAAUAACAGUUCAGUCAAGCCUAGUAUGAACUACGAAAUCAGUUCAGUGUCUAUUCGAUUGGGAGUAGGAUUCAGCAUUGAGUAAAUCCAAGGAUGAGGACUCACCUGCUAGUAGAGGGUGUAGUUCUUAGAAGCAAUCUUUACAUUCCAAAACUACGUAGCCAGCAUAGGUUGAGACAUCAAACCUACCAGUCGAGGGUUGAUGAGGUAUUUUAACCUGUCAGUUUAGGGUUCCACCAUUCUCAUUAGAGUACCUGCCAGAUGAGGGUAUCUCUUCAGUUGUCUUCACCCGUGGUACGGUACUGACACCCUUCCAACUGAGGUUACAGGUUGGACCCCAAAAUCUAUUUAAAAAAAUUAAUAAGAUGAUUAGCUCCCACAGUCUCAAUUUCAGAUUCAGUCUCAGAUUAGAACUCAGAUCAGUUCUAGAGAUUCAGGACUAUCAGAUAUAGUCACUCAGCUCAGUAUGAAACUCAGUAUAGUUCUAUAGACUUCAGGACUGUCAGAUACGGUUAUCCAGAUAAUUAGUAAUAUAGUAUCAGUAAACUCAGAUAUCAGUAAAUUAAUAUUCAAACUCAGUAUCUAGUAUCAUCAUGAUUUUAGUUACAGUCUAUGUAUUCAUGCAUGUACUUCUAUUCAGUCAUAUUCAUGUUAUUCAGUUAGUAUUGUUCAUGUAUCAUGAACCCAUCCAUUUCAGCCUACCUAACAGAUAAUACCAGUACAUUCAAAGUACUGACACAUGCUUUUUUACGCUAUGAUGUCUUAUAUCAUAGGUUCAGACACACGGGCCCCAGAGCAUCCUUAGUAGUAUAGGUUCUGAACAGAAAACGUAGUGGUAAGUCCUCAUAUUUUGAGGAAAUGAUUAUUUUUAGCAUUUUAGUUAUUUCAGCAGUUAGUCGGAUUUAGUUGGGGACUUGUCCCAUCAACUCUAUAUUUCAGAUAGUUUAGAGGCUUAUCAGACUAGAGUGUUUUUAGACAAUUGUUUUCCAGCAUUCAUAUUUCCGUAUACAAUAUUGUUUUCAUAUUUGAACCUUAUGGAAGUUUUCGCAUUUACUUCCUUAUUUUGUUAUUACAGUGUUUUUAUUAUUUAGUGCUCACAACAUGUACCAGUCAUGGGUUAGCUAGUGGUCCUUUGAGAUUAUUAGAGUCGUGUAGCAUUCGGGGUACAGACUUGGGGAAUUACACCAUUGUCCUAAAUCAUAGACCCCAGAUACUUGAAAAUCACCCUCUUUUAAAUGGCCUGAUAAUCCAGCUCUACAACUACGUCAGCUACUACGACGUAUCACUAAACUUGGACUCCAAGUACUCUAUCUUGGUCCUGCUUAACCGAAAUCUUUUAAACUCAAGGGUUUGUCUCCAAAUCUCCAACUUAUCAUUAAAUUCUUCCUGAGUUUCAUCAAUCAGUACUACAUCAUUAGAAAAUAACAUAAACCAAGGCAUCUCCCUUUGAAUAUGUCACAUCAAAACAUCCAUCAUCAAGGCAAAUAAAAAAAGGGCUAAGAGUCGGUCCCUGAUGCAACCCUAUCAAAAUAAAAAAAGUGCUCCAAAUCUCCAUCUACUAUUCUCACCCAAGUUUUUACACCAUCAUACUGUCCUGAAUCGACCUAGUGUAUGCCAUAGGCCACCCUCUAGCCUCCAAGCACCUCCACAGAAUCUUCUUGGGAACUCUGUCAUAUGCCUUAUCUAGAUCAAUAAACACCAUGUGCAAGUCCUUCUCUCUUUUCUAAAAAUUCUCUAUCAAUCUCCUCACAAGGUUAAUGGCCUCAGUAGGUGAGCGGCCUGACAUGAAACAGAUUUGAUUCUCAGAGAUAAUCACACUCCUUCUUGCCUCAACUCUACUAUCCUUUCCUAAACCUUCAUAGUAUGACACAAGAAUAACUUAAAACACAUGUUCAAAUUAAUAUGUGAACAAUGAAAUAAAGUUUAAACUUUGUAUUUACAACUUUGACCUUUUAACAAUAAGUUCAACCCAACUUAUGAACAACCAAAAAUGAAGUUCAAACUAUUUUCUUGAAAAUAGAAAAAUCAAAUGUCAAGAAUUUCAACACAAGUUCAACCAACUUAUGAACUAUCAAAGUUUAAACUUCAUUAAGUUUCAAGAACUUCAAACACAAGUUCUAACAGUUGAAGAACUAUCAAUUUGAAGUUCAAACUAUUUUAUGAAAAAAUAGUAAAACCAACUUUAAGAAAAAGAGAUGAAAUAGAAAGAUUCAAGCUCAUCCAAUUUACGGUGUGACCUUAAGGAAAUUAUUCUCCUCAAGUACCUGAGGUUAUGGAAUAUAUCCUCCCAGGAUAAAAUGAAUCCCUUCGAUAGGAUAGCGGUACCUCAAAUUCUAUUGAACUACGAAUACACUCAACGGUAAUAAAUCACACUAGAGUUUUUUCAAGAAAGAGGAGUAUUGUUUUCUUCAAAAAUUCAUGUCUAUAUCUGAGAAAAAAUUCAGGUAUUUAUAGUCAUCGAGGUGUUGCUUCACGAAGAGAAAUAAUAGUUUAGAAAGGUGCACCCCUUCAUAAAGAUGCAACUCUUCAAAAAAGGUGCAACUCUUCGAAAAAGUCACAACCCAUUGGAAAGGUCGUAGCCAUCCAAACCAAAAAGGUUCCUAUUUAAAUUGCAUCCUUUCUCUUGGAGUAUUUUUUAGUAAAAACAUCUAUUCAUUUUUCAUUCACACUGUCACAUCUCUUUUUUACCAAAAAAGAUUAUUGAUUUUAUGUUUGAAAAGGAUUUUAAUUAUUAAAGUGACAAAAUGAAGAUUUAUUUUGAAAAGAAUUUUUAUAUUUAAAUUCAGAGUUGCCACUUGAGAUAAAUCUGGUGUGCCAAGUCUUCUUUGAAAAUUCUUUUUCAAAAUUAUUUUUGACUCUUUCAAAUCUGGUCCACCAACAAAGAUUCUGCUUAAGGAAUUCUGUAGACCGAGGAAAAGGUAUUAGGCACCCCUUGAUCCCGUGGUUCUACCACAGUCGUUUCGUGGAGUAUAUCGGCUAGUGAGAUACUAUAAAAUGUAUAAACCGCACAAAAUCAUGUAAGCCAACAAACACACAAAAAAUACGAGAUUUUAAAAAUAUUGCCCAAUUAUACAGUCCCAAAAAAUAAAAAAAUGCAAAAAUGUAAAUCUACUCUAUUCUAAACUAAUCCUAAACUAAACUCCACUCAAUGUUUUGGGCCUUGAUCAUGCACCAUCUUUAAGUACAACUCUCUUGGGACAUUCCCCAGAUAAAUACAAACAUCCUCGGGGCAUUCCCCGACCAAAUGAGUACAAGUGAUUCAAAUGCAAUACAAUGAAAAUCAUUCAACAAACAUUCAAUAUUCAUCAAUCCACGAUUUCUAAAUUUGCCUAACCAACCUAUCAUUUUCCUACCUAUUUGACGGCCUAAUCAUGAUACUAUUAUGUUUAACAACAUCCAUGUUUAAACUGAAUUAAACCAACAUCAAUAAAUCUAAAUUAAUACAUGUUUUUACUUUUAUCAAGAUCAAUCCCAAGUUUUGUUUUAACAUACAUUUCCUAGAUUAAACUAGUUAUUCAAAUCCACAUCAACAUCAACUUUUCACCACGAUCAAUUACUCCAAAUAAACAUCAUACAACAACAAAAUCACCCAAUCAGAAUCAUCAAACACAUAAUGAUAAUAAAAUGAGUAGAGUUGAGAAUUGGACCUUAGAAGAACUGAUUCCCAUUGAUAAGUAGUGAGUUAAUGCAUCCCAAACCUGAAAUCCUCAAAUGAAAACCUCAACAAUAAACAAAAUAACUUGGUAUCAAGAAACCACAACCCAAAUAGAUUUAAGAUCAGCAAAAAGACCUCAAUAAGAACCACAAAAUCACUGAUUAUGGCACAAAUUUAUCAUGAAAACCCCAAAAUCUAAUUCGAAGACAAACCCACGUAGAAAAAUAAGCCAACCAAAAUAAUGAUGCAUAAAUCUGAGCAAAAUACAAAAAUAAUAGAGUUUUGAGUUAUUUUUAGGCAGAGUGAAGCUGGUGACAUUGUUUUCCUAGCGGGUUUUGCUGGAAACAGUAAUAGAUGACGACAUUGGGGUUUUUCGGUGACAAAUGCGGAUAAUUUUUGGCUAGAAAUGCACCCAAGAAUCUGUCAAAUCUCCUCUGUUCUUUCCCUCUCUCGAUUUCAUUAUCUCCCUUCAAUCUCUCCAUUAUUCCUUACUGUUCACGUCCGUUCCUCUAUUUUCAUUUUUCAGUGGUGUAUGUGUGUCUAGUAUCUGAUGUGUGUACGGUGAAUAUCAGUUUUGGUGUGUGAAGCUUUAUGUGUGUGCACGUAUAUAGUGUUUAUGAAUAUGUGUGGGGGUAUCUUAAUGGAAAGAAAAAAUGAAGAAAGUUGCGUGUUCAUGGAAUCGUGAGUGAAUAGUAGUGUAUUGUUGUUGUUCUUUCUAUGUAGGCAGAGUCUGUUCUUGUUGUUUUUGAAUGAAAAAAAUGGAGCUGGCCCUCUAUUACUGUGAGAAGAAAACAAAAUAAACUUUUUGAAUUGGUCUUUGUCUUGUUGUCAUUGUCCAGCUGUGUGUUUGUUUUUCUUGUGGAAAAAUUAUCACGUGAAUGAGGUGUGUGAUAAGUAAUUGAGUUGAAUUACCUAAUAAUCCCCCACAUGAAUGGGGAAUGACUAUUUUAUAAAAAAAUUACGGACAAGUGUGUGAUUUACAAACAAAGACUAGUCGUAUCUGGAUAAGUGGAUUUCCUUUUGAACUCUCUGUAGUGAACUUGCAUCGGAUACACUUGAUCAAUCGGUAGAUGUGAUAUCUUUGAACCAUCAAGCUUUAAUAUACACCUAUACAACAUAAGUCACACAACCAAUAUUUUACCAUUUAUGGUUCUCACAGUUUUGUUCAUUUCAGCUUUGAACACAUCCUAGUUUCACGAGAUCUUAUAGAAUGGGCCUUUACUAACAUUCUCCUUAAAAUGGCUUCCACUUCACCCUCACAUAGGUGAUUCCUAAGUAUUUAAUCCUAUAUAUCAUACUAUUUGGUCAAACCUGCCAAACUUAAAAAUCAUUAAAAAAACUUCAAAGCAUAGGCCUUAUCCUUGUUCUUUGAACAUUUUCUUCAUCUUGAACCUAGCUUUUAAGAUCUCCAGUCAACUAGGUAGAGUUACUGCCAUGCUGACUUGUCUAGAGUGUUAAACCCAUUCCCUUUGAUGAUAGCUCAACCCCCUCUCUAGAUAAGCCUUUUGUAAGUGGAUCAACAUAUUAUCAUUUGACUUCACGUACUCAACAAUGAUAAUUGCACUAGAGAGUAGUUCUUUAAUGGUACUAUGUCUCCAUCUUAUAUGAUGAGAUUUACCAUUGAACAUCACGAUCCCUUCCCUACCUGUCACCACUUGACUAUCAUAGGGUAUACAUAUUGGUGCCAAAGGUUUGGGCCAAUAAGGAAUAUCUUCCAAGAAAUUUCAAAGCCAUUCAACUUUUUCACUGGCUUUAUCUUACAUGAUAAAUUCAUAUUUCAUUGUAGAGCAGACAAUACAUGUCCUUUUGGACAAUUUUAAGAGACUAUUCCUCCACCUAGUAAAUACAUAUCCACUUGUGGAUUUUACUUCAUUCAAUUUGGUGAUCCAAUUUGCAUCACUAUAUCCUUCGAUUACCAUUGGAUAUUUAUUAUAAUGAAAAGCAUAGUCUUGAGUAUGUUUUAGAUACCCCAAAACUCUUUGAUUGGGAUUACUCGUGUACUGACCCAAUUUACUAAUAACACAUGCUGUAUUUGAUCGUGUACAAUUCAUGAUAUACAUCAAACUUUCCAAGACUCUUAUAUAGUCCAACUGUGAGUCACUUUUACAUUCAUUCUUUUGAAGUGCAAACCUCACGUCUAAUUGAGUCUUGACAAUACCAAAAUCCAAAUACUUAAACUUUUCAAGUACCUUUUCAAUGUAAUAAAGACUGUGACAAUGCCAAUCCUAGUGGAGUUUUAUGGAUUCUUAUCCCUAAGAUCACAUCCGCAACUCAAAGAUCUUUCAUAUCAAACUUGUUCUGAAACAUUCAUUUCAUAACAUUUAUGUCAAAAAUGUCUCAAUUGAUGAUCAAUAUAUCAUCCACAUACAAACAAAUAAUGACUUUUUAAUUUAGAGUGUCUUUAUGUAAACACACUUAUCACAUUCAUUUAUCUUGAAGCCGUUUGCCAAUAUGGUUUUGGUCAAACUUUGCAUACAACUAUUUGGGUGCUUGUUUUAGUGUAUAAAGUGACUUAACAAGUUUGCACACUUUGUUAUCUUUACCCAAAACCACAAAACCCUCGAGUUUUUCCAUUUAUUUUUUUUCUCUAACUCUUCAUUUAGGAAUGUUAUUUUUACAUCCAUUUGAUGGAUUUCGAGAGAAUGUACCACCGCUAAGGCAACCAACAUUCGAAUGGACAUUAUCCUUGUUGCAGGAAAAUACAUAUCAAAAUAAUGAAGACCUUUUUUCUUAUCAAAAGUCUUUCACUACAAGUUUGUCUUGUAUAUGUCAAUAGUACCAUCAAAUUUUAUUUUUCUUCUAAAGGUUUAUUCAGAACCUAAAGGUUUAUUUACUUGGGGAAGAUCAACCAACUCCCAAGUAUGGUUGCUUAAUAAUGAUUGGUAAAUUUACCACUCAAUCGUACUCCACAUUCAUGUAGAUUACCAUGUUUUGAAUGAAUAAGUGAGGCGUAAUUAUGAUUUAAUGCACUAACUUCCAUAUUUUGCUGGCACAAAGGUUAUAAGAUGGAAAAGUGUGGAUUAGCGCUUCAAAAAGGAAAUAAAAUUUAGCAAAAAUUGCAACUAAAGACUUGGAGAAGAACAUCUUAUUACGAUCGUGGUCAGUCAAAAUGGUCAAUAUAUCGCAAUCGCGUGGCAUUACUCAUGUUCGCGGUAGGCGCAAUCGCGGCCUAUUGGAAAAUCAUCCCAAGGGCAAAGAUGUAAAUGCACAUAUAUGUUCCCAAUUUUUUUCUAAAGAUGACUCCAAACUUAUCAUUCAAUCAUUAAUUCAAUUCCCAAAAUUUUGAAAACUUUGUUUAAGUUCUUAGCCUCCAUUCCUGGAAAGUAAAAUAUUGUAUUAAUUUUUGGGUGAAGAAUAUAUUAGAGUAGCUUCCAAGUGGAGGAUUAGCUAACUCCCAUUGGAGAUUUGUGAACAUUCAAAUUUUGAAGUAACAUUCACUUAGUCUUUUAUAAAUCUAAUCAAUGGAGGUUAUUGGGUAUAUCUUGCUUACUAUUUUUAUGUAUAGUUAGUUCUUUCUCUUGGAAAUAUGCUAGAUUAGGGUGCAAUUAUGUGUGAGAUGUGAUUUAUUUGUGCAUUUACUAGUUUGUAGUGCUGGGUUCUAUUAUUGCUUGAUUAUAUUAGUUGGGACUUGUGGGUGAAAGCUCCAAAUACCCAAAUAGAUAUAUGGGUAAAAAUUCCAAGCUCUUGAAAGUCUAACCAUCCUUGAGAGAGGGGUUUGGGUGAACAUUUGAAACCCACAUUAUCUUUGAAAGAGGGAUGUGGGAACUAAGACAAUAAUAGACAAUUAUUAGGUUAGUUUGCUAAUUUUCACUAUCUUAGAAAUAAGGGUUCUUAUGAGGUUGACUAUACCUAGGGCACCAUUCUAGAAAUAGGGGUGCCUAAUUGAGGCAUUGGGAGGUUUUAAUUGACGCACUUGUUAGGUACUCAAAAGGGUCAAUAGGUGACAUCCUUGUGGUUUUGUUGAAAAACUAACCUCAAGGACUUUCAACCUAGCCUACCAUAUCACUAGCAUUUAUAAUUUGCAUCAAGUCAUCAUACUCCCAUGCAUAAGUUGCCCCUAGGAAGGCAUAAUCCCAAGAUCCACUCUUAGUUGAUUAAACUCUGAUUAUUCCUUACCCAAAAUUAAUACUAGUAAAUCCCAAAAUGAAACAUUAGUUUUUAUACUUUCUUAAAUCCCUAAUUUUUACUUGUAUUCUAGGUUUGAAUUUACCAACUGUUCAUUAUUUCGAGCUAACUUGAUCGCCACUCAAAUUGCUCCUCGUGGGUUCGAUCUCCACUCAAAAUUUGGGUAAAUAUAUUGAUGACGACCACCUUACACUUAAAUUAACGUGUAAGUUAAGCGUUAUAAAAAAUGGCACCGUUGUUGGGGAACAAUUUAGGUAUUGAGUUAGUUUGGAAUUUUAGCUUAAUUGCUUGAAUUCAAACUUGUAAAUAUUUUUUUGUUAUUUUGUUUUGCUUCUUGUGUUAGAAUUUUAUUUAUUGCUUACUUGUUACUAUGGAAUCUAGAGACUACUAGGAUUUUGGUAGUUGGAAGUCCUAUCUUGACGAUGCAUGUCCAUAUUGUGAUACAUCCCACUUCCUAAGAGAUUGUAGCUAUGUUCCCCAAAGAGACAUGGAAUCACUAUCUCAAUCCUAUUGGGAGUAUGAAUAUUCUUUAUGUGGUUAUCGAGAUGGACAUUAGAGUGAUUGUUCAAAUGCCCCCCCUCCUCAUUAUGCUAACUCAAAUGCUAGUUCUUCUAAUGAGUUUGAUAGGUAUUAUGAUGAGGAGAAGGAAGAAAUAUAUACCAUUUCUAAUAGUUUUGAAGCAAUGCUUCAAUCUAUUCUGGAUUGAGUAACUGCAACGGGGGAGAAUAUGCAAGACAUACAUCAAUCCAAUGAGGCAUUUAGAAGGGAAAUUGUCAAGAUUAAGGAAAUGGGCAAGAACCUAAAUAUUGCACAUACCCUUACCUUGCCCACUUCCCAAGAAAAGGUUAAUCAAGAAUAGAAACCAAGCUAUAAUGAUGAGCUUGAUAAUGAAAAAGCCUCAAAGAUCUCCCAACCAAACAAACCACGUAUUGUGGAAGAUGCUAAGAUCGAGGAAAUGGUACUAAAGUCAAAAGGAGAAGCAAAGCAUAUCUCUUAUGAAGACUCUAGUUUAUUUCACGGUGAGGGCUACUAAGGAUGCAAUUCUAAAAUUAAGGGAUAAACCUUAUUCAAACCACUUCUCAACAUUGUGCUUAGAGAAUGUGAUGAGAAUCCAUCUACCUAGUGAGAAAAAAUUAGGACGGAGAUUCAAAUCUUUUAAGGGAAAAUACAAACGGCAGUUGGAGGGGUAGUUUUCCUUAAAAUAUUGGAAGAAAACCAUCAUUCUAUGACAGUGGAACGUAUCCUUUUAUUUAUGAAUGAUAGAGUAAAUUUUAUUUGUAUUUUUGCAUAAUCCAUUGAAAUUAUUAUGCUAUAAGGAGUGUUGAUGGAGAGUCAAAAAAUAAAAGGUGUGAAAUUAUAAUGUUUAAACUGAGUUAGGGAAUGCAGAGGAGCUAAAAAUUGGUCUCAGUUACCGUGAUCGCAGCCUGUGUCACCGCAAUUGCGGUAGCUGUGUCACCGUAAUUGCGGAGCCAUAAUUACGGACAUAUGACUGCGAUCGCGGUCAAUACAAUUUAAAAAUACCAUCGGACUUCCUUCCUCCCCUACGCCUCUUUUUCAAAUUCUCUCAAAACUCUCUAAAGCUUAAAUAUUUGUUGAGCGUCCAAGUGUGUAUUCCAAUCCAUUUGCAUCAUCUAAUUUGGUAUGUUUUCUAAAUCCCAUCAUUUUUAUGUGUGUUUUAGGCCUGAGACUUGUUUUUAGGAAUAGGCUUGAAAUAGUAUUUAUAAUGCCAAAUCCAUGCAUGUUUGUGAUGAUUAUUGUGAUUAGCUAUUUUAGUGGUUGUACACGUAUCAGGGAAGUCUUGAGUACGGAAAUUUAAGCCUAAAAUUAUUAAAAUCAAUGUGUACACUAUGUGUUUAAUUUAAUGCCCCAAUGAAUUCCAUGUUAAUUUCUUUAAGGUUUGAGGGUGUAAUCAUAUUCUAAGUUUAAGUUCCUUGUGCAUGAUGAAUAUAGGACUAGUUGGAAUAAAAAUUUUGGGGUUAAAAUAUGGUGUUUAAGUUCCUUGUGCAUGAUGAAUAUAGGACUAGUUGGAAUAAAAAUUUGGGGUUAAAAUCAUCGGGACCGUGAUCGCGGUACUAUGAUUGUGGUUAAGGCUUCGUAAUUAGCAUAAUCGAGAUCAGUUUUCUGCUGAAACCAAAAAAAAAUUUUCAUCCAUUUCUUACCCCAAAACUCACUACGACAUUGCCACAUGGGUUUAUCUUAUUAAUCUAGUAUGGUUUUGGUGUGAGAAUGCUACUAAUGGUUUGAAUUGUGCUGCUUACAGGUACUCAGCCACCAAAUAAGAGACUUUGACAAUACCAAAUUCAUGUCUGCUGAAUGCCACAACCUCUACUAUAGUGACCUACCGAAGACCAAAAUACUCCCAAAAAGGGGUAUUUACUUAGAUAAAGUGGAGGACAAACUCCCCGGAUUCCAUUUCGAACUCACUAAGACCUGGUGGUAUGCUUUGCCUUGAAGCCUUGCUAUGCUAAUGAGUAAUAGGUGCAUGAUUUAUAUGCUAACCAUAGCAUAAUAUCUCUCACAAACCCUGUGAUGAAAAUUUGGGGAACGAAAGUGAAAUUUAGAGCAGAGUGGAUAAAUGUAACAUAGGGGCUCCCGGAUGCAGACAUGGCUCAGUUUCAGGUGAAAAAGUGUGAGCCAGGGACCUGUAUGGUGAACAUAUUAUGUCUUGGUAGAGAAGUUCCCUAGGAUACCACCAAAAGAGGAAUUUCUAUGAACGAUUUCACAACGGAGGCUAGGAUUUGGUUGGCUAUCAUUUGUAGCAGCGUAUUGCCUUGCACACAUAUGACUGUUGUGAUAGAUUUGAUAGCGCAGAUGGUGUCCUGUAUCUUAUUUGUCAUUGAUCUGAACAUUGGCGAGAUUAUGAUCUCAGAGUGGAGACACUUCAAGAGCUAAAGGGGUAUACUUCUUCUCUUUUCUUCCCUUAUUACUAAGCUAUGCAAAAGCGCAAAAGUGGAUGUAUAUGCUGCAGAUACCUAGGUGCGCCUAGGAGCCCGUAUAUUCCCACUCAAAUUUCAGGGUGAGGGUGUACCGAUCAGAGUAAAAAGAGAAAAAUUGACUUAGGCAAGUCGAUAGCUGAGGAGUCAGAGUCGUGCAGACCAUCUACUACUGGGACUCUGGAGGAAGAUUAUAAGGAGUGAUAAAUACAGGCCAACAUGAAUAUGGCGUAGCACCAAUUGAAAAAGGAGAGAACCCAUCCGCACAUAAUCCCAAACAAAUGUUUCAUGGCUCAGUUGCAAAAUAUGGAUAAGUUGCAUCAAAAUGCUUCCAAGCCUAUCCAUCAGAUGGAUGACACAUAACACUAGUGGGCCUUCUAUUUUCACUGUGCCAUCUCAUAUCGGGGGUGCUGACAAAACUUAGAGGGCCCUAGGUUAGCAUCUCUCUUAAAGUAUAACAUGCAACCAUUUUCAUCAUAAUCAAUUCUAACCAAGGAGAGACCUAACUUUGACACCAAUCUUUUUACCUUAUAGAAAGAAUCAGGAACCUCCAAUCCGGGGUCAACUAACUCUUUAAUUAGGUCUAACUUGAGUCCAUUCCUCCUUCAUCAAUAUUCCGGUUAGAUCUAAUACUUAAUAAUAUAACAACAACAGACAAACGAGAGUGCGAACACCCAUCAAACAAAGGAUGACUAAAAGCAUGCAAUUGUUUAUAGAAUUUGCCCGCUUCGCUAUUAGGAACAUCUUCGAAAUUUUUGCUAAAGUCACCCCGGUGUUGCAUCCCAAAAGCAUCGUGCACCAUUUCUGUCAUCCUAGUAUCUUGAUAUUCAUUAUGCGUUGCAGACCUACUACUUUCUCCAACAACAAAGUUAUUUUGCACAACAUCACCAUGAAUACCACACAAUCUUAAAAAGUCUUCGUGAAACCCCUUUCUAUAAAGAUGUUCCUUUACAACUUCAUCACUUACAAGAUUUAUACCAUCAGAUCAAACACAAGGACAAUGAAUAGCCCCAAAACGUGUCUAAACAUCAAGUGUCUUAGCUUGUUCAACAAAUAUUUUGACACCUUCAACAAAUUCCUCCCUAAUACCCAUUCUAUUAUCAUUGUUCCGCUAAUAUAUCCAGCUAUAAUCAGGUUCUAUCUACGCAAUCAAUCAGAUUCAACUAAUUAUAUCAAGUCACAAAAAUUCAAUGAAGUCAUCAUCCAAACCGCAUUCAAAACAAAAAAAAAUUCCUUUAAAGUCCCUACACUUAACAAUUUCCAACCAACUAAGUCACCUACCAAACAACAUUCAAAACAAAAAAAUCCACUUUAAAGUCCUCUCAACUAAGUCACCUACCAAACCACAUUAAAAAAAAAAUCCCCUUUAAAGUCCUCACACUUAACCAUUUUCAACCAACUAAGUCAUCUACCAAACCACAUUAAAAACAAAUAAAUCCCCUUUUAAAGUCCCUACACUUAACCAUUUUCAACCAACUAAUUAUCAAAACAAAACAACAUUCAAAAUAUAAAAUCCACUUUAAAGUCCCUACACUUAACCAUUUUUGACCAACUAAGUUUCAAAACAAAACCACAUUCAAAAUACAAAAUCCACUUUAAAGUCCGUACACUUAACCAUUUUCAACCAACUAAGUCACCACCAAACCACAUUCAAAACGAAAAAACACACUUUAAAUCCAUCACACAACCAUUUUCAACCAACUAAGUCACCUACCAAACCACAUUCAAAACAAAAAAAUCCCCUUUAAAGUCCUCACACAUAACCAUUUUCAACCAAUUAAGUCACCUACCAAACCACAUUCAAAAUAAAUAAAUCCCCUUUAAAGUCCCUACACUUAACCAUUUUCAACCAACUAAGUAUCAAAACAAAACCACAUUCAAAACACAAAAUCCACUUUAAAGUCCCUACACUUAACCAUUUUCAACCAACUAAGUCACCUACCAUACUAGAUUUAAAACAAAAAAAUUCCCUUUAAAGUCCUCACACUUAACCAUUUUCAACCAACUAAGUCACCUACCAAACCACAUUCAAAACAAAAAAAUCCCCUUUAAAGUCCCUACACUUAACCGUUUUCAACCAGCUAAGACACCUACCAAACCACAUUUAAAACAUAAAAUCUCCUUUAAAGUCCCUGCACUUAACGAUUUUCAAGUGACUAACUAUCAAAAUAAAACCACAUUCAAAAUAAAAAAUCCCCUUUAAAGUUCCUACACUUAACCAUUUUCAAGUGACUAACUAUAAAAACAAAACCACAUUCAAAGCAAAGAAUCCCCUUUAAAGUCCCUACACUUCAUUUUUAACCUACCAAGUCACCAAAAAUAACCACAUUCAAAAUAAAAAAUCACCUUUAAAGUGCCUACACUUAAUCAUUUUCAACCUACCAAGUCACCAAACAUAACCACAUUCAAAACAAAAAAUCACCUACCAAGUCCCUACACAUUUAAAACCAAGCCUUGAGCUCUCAUACUAAAUGAUACAAGAUCAAGUUCGUAAAACAAGAAAAAAGCAACAACAAGACCAACAAGAUGAUAACAACAAUUCUAUUGAAUCGAACAAGGCCACACUCGACUUUACUAAACUUUAAUAUGAACAAUAACAAGAAGAUAACAACAAUGCUAGUGAAUCAAAAAAAGCCACACACGGCUUCCCUAGACUUCAAUUAGGCAACUAGAAGAAAAAAACUUGACCAUUAGGCAAAAUAUGAAAAUUUUUGACCAUUAGCUAUAAUCAAUUUCCACAUUCCCAACCACUAACUUAAAUCAAACUAAAUUUAGGCUAAAAGUUGUAAAGAAAUUUCUCAAUAAAAUAUAUGAGACAAACAAAAUGUAUGAUAGUCUCUUUGGGCUCCUGCUCAUGUUGUAUGAGACACUGAAGAACGAGGCAAAAUUCUUGUCAAAUGUUGGCAUUCAAAUUACAGACAUUCGCGCUGAAAUAAAUAGUAUACAAUACUUCUUAAAACUUGCAUCUAUUCAUACAUGUCCAUAACUUAUCAAGUUUGUCUCAUCUUCAGCAGACUAGCAACAACAAUGAUAACAAGUAUCUAAACAGAAGAGCACAAGGUGUGUGCAAGCUGACUCGAACACAAUCGCAUUUUGUAUUUAAGGCACAUAUAAAUUUUAUAUAUAUAUAUAUAUAUAUAUAUAUAUAUAUAUAUAUAUACUUAUGUAAUCUUUAUAUUUNNNNNNNNNNNNNNNNNNNNNNNNNNNNNNNNNNNNNNNNACUCGCAUUUUGUAUUUAAGACACAUAUAUAUUUUAUAUAUAUAUAUAUAUAUAUAUAUAUAUAUAUAUAUAUAUUCACAUGUCAACUUCAAAGUUCUUGAAAUAAACAAAGAUUAGAAGACACAGAACUUCCUCAAUCCACAUCAACCAAACAGGUGUAAAAAAUGUUUCUAAACUACCUUUAAUGAAUCCAACACACAGAAUCCUAACAGCAGUACUCCUCGAAAUCUCAAAGGAUGGACUGGAUUGCAGUGAGAAAGGAUCGAUCGAUAUAGAAAGAGAACACCAAUAUUCUUCCAAUUAACAAUGAUUUCAAGCACAAAUCAGAGACUUUGUGUGUGUAUGUGUGUGUGAUAUUUCGAGCAUCGGCGACAGUGAUUGCAGUGAGAAAGGUCACAAUUUUGUGUGUGUAUUUCGUGAUUUUGGGGAUUUUGUGUGUAUUAGGGGAUUAAACCGCGUAAAUAAAUUGCCUUGGGUCGGGUCGUGUGGGGCUCUAGUGGGGUCGGGUUAGCUUUAAUUUAUUUAACAAUUUUUUAAAUUAAUUUAUAUAAAAUCGACCAUAUGUGGUUGGUUUUCAAUAAAAAUUAAUUCCAAAUUAAAGUUUAAUAAAUUAUAAUUUAUAAAUUAAUAAAUUAAAAUAAAUUACAAAAUAUAUUAAUAAAUUAAAAUUAAUUUUUAACAAAUUAAAAUUUUAAUAAUUUCUAUAAUAUUUAUAACAAUAUCAAAAUAAUUUAAUACAAUGCGUAUAUAUAUAAAUCAGAUAAUUAGUUAUUUUAUCAUCACAUUGACACGAGAAAUUAAAAUUUUAAUAAUUUUUAUAAUAUUUAUAACAACAUCCAAAUAAUUUAAUGCAAUGUCUAUAUAUAUAAAUCAGAUAAUUAGUUAUUUUAUCAUCACAUUAGCACGAGUAGUAUAUUUCUUCAAUCGUAUAAUAAUAUCAAUGAAAUUUUCCAAAUAUUUUGAUAUAUAGAUUCAAUUAUCUAGCUUUCGAUUAUUGCAUACGCCACUACAUGAGAUAUACACAUAUAUAUAAAUAUAUUUAAUUGGCUAUCAGUUUCAAAUCCAUACUAUAGACAUUACAUACUUGAUUUUACUACCCCAUAAUAAUAUACAACAUAUUUCACACAUACUCAGAUGAAUUAUCGAUUGAUUUAUCUUAUGUCAUUAAUACACCUUCACUAUAUAAUAUUUAUAUGCUAUAUAUACCUAUACAUGUAAACACAUAUACACAAUAUCGACUAUAUUAUUACGUACUAUAUACAUCACAUACGUACACGAGUAUAUUAUCCAAUAAUAUAAUACGACGUAUUCCAUAUAUAUACUUUGAUGAGUUAUCGAUUAUUUUGAUUAGCUUACAUUGAUAUAACUUCAACAUACAAUAUAUUAUUACUUCUAUCAUUUCAAAUCAAGGUAUUCAAUAAUAUGUUUGGAUAGAUUCUACUACUUUUUUACUACAUCGUUCAUCGAUCGAUCACUACAUCAUAUAUAUAUAUAUAUAUAUAAAUAUAUAUGAACUCUUGAAUGCGUACUAUAUUAUCUCAUAAUAGAACACAUUCAUUAUAUUCUGAUGAAUUAUCGAUUAUAUAGGUAUGUUACAUUAUUAUAACUGCAAUAGUAGCAUAAUAUCAUUAUCUCAGCGGUAUCAUAUAUAUACAUAUAUUCAUUAUACAAAGAUUAUGCAUGUUUAACGUCAUUUAACGUAUAUACAAAGGAAAAUAUUUAUUUUACUUAUUGAAAUAUAAGUAAAAGAUAAAGAUUAUGUUUAACUUAAUUUAUUUAUAUUAUUUGAUAUAUUUUUUAGUAUAUUUUUUUUUACAAAAUCGAAGAUUGCUUGAUUUUUGUUAUAAUUAUAUUAGUUAUUGACUAUGUGUGAUCACUAAGAAAUUUCAAAAAUUAAUAUAUUUAAUUUUACAUAUAAUUAUUUUUUUAAUAAAAAUCGACCACAAAUGGUCGGAUUUUAAUUUUUUUUUUAAUUAAAGACCGACCACAAGUGGUCUCUUUUUAAAAAUAUUUUAAAUUUAAUUUUUAAUUUUUAAUUUUUAAUUAAAAAAUUUUAAAAAAAAUAAUUUCAAAAAAUCGACCACAAGUGGUCGAUUUUUAAAAAUUAUUUUCUCUUUAUUUUAAUAAAAACCGACCACUUUUUCAAAAUUAAUUUCUCUUUUAUUUUAAUUAAAACCUGACCAUAAGUGGUCGGUUUUCAAAAAUUAUUUCCUUUUUAUUUUAAUUAAAAACCGACCACUUUUAAAAAUAUUUUCUUUUUUUUUUAAAAUAAAAACCGGCCACUAGUGGUCGGAUUUUUUUUAUAAAACUAACUAAAAAAGAAUUUUUUAUAGUAGUCGAUUUUUUAAAAUAUUAUUUAAUUAUAUUUUAAAAGAAAACCGACCACAAGUGGUUGGUUUUGUUAUUUUUUUAUAAUUUUUAUUUUUAAAAUAAAUAAUAACUAACACAAAAAAUAUUGAAAUGAUUAUUUUGAUAUUUUAAAAUAUAAAAGCGACCACAUGUGGUAGCUUUUUAUUUUUUUUAAAUAAAUAAAAAAGUAACCAUAUGUGGUCGAUUUUUUUCGACCACAAUGCGUUGUUGGUUUUUUUAUUUCGUUAGUAGCGUGAAUAGUCAAAGGGAAAAAUUACAGAAUCAGAAAGUGGCGCAAAGAAAUUUAGAGUUGCAGGUUGGACAAAUGCAGCAAGCGUUAAAUACUAGACCACAAGGUGGUUUGCCCGAUAGCUGAUACAGAAAAUCCAAAGCAAGGCAUGGCAAUUACCUAGUGAAAUAGUAAAGAGCUUCAAGGAGAACCUCCCAAGGCAACAAAGGAGGUAGAUGCUGAGGUGGUGACCCAACAGGUAGAUGACAAAGUUGCUAAAAAUUCAAGGAAGUCUGAGUACUUGAAUGAAAAUAUUGCGGAACUAAAGUAAAAGAAGACGCUGCCAUUGCCUUUCCCUCAAAAGUACAUAAAAGCAAAAGAGGGUGGAUUAUUAAAAAAGUUCAUUGUCACAUUCAAAUAGCUUCAUAUUAACUUACCUUUGCUAGAUGUUUUGCAGAGUAUGCCUAAGUAUGCAAAGUACUUGAGGGAUGUGGUGGCGAAGAAGGUGAAAUUGUAAGAUGUGAGAGCUAUAACACUCACUGAAGAGUGUAGUGCGGUGAUGAAACAGAAAAUCCCUAAGAAAUUGAAAGAUCAGGGAAAGUUUGCUAUUCCCAUUCAAAUUGUGAGUAAAGAGGUCCAUGCACUUAGUGAUUUAGGGGAAAGUAUAAAUUUGAUGCCCCUAUCACUGUUUGAAAAAUUGGGCUUGGGAAAGCCUAGAUCAACCACUGUGGUUUUGUAGUUAGUAGACGGUUCCAUGGCAUAUUCGAAAAGAAUAAUUAGGUUGUCCUCAUAGAUGUUGGUAAAUUUGUUAUUCCUGCUNNNNNNNNNNNNNNNNNNNNNNNNNNNNNNNNNNNNNNUUGUCCUUGAUUUUGUGGCAAACGAACAGGUACCAAUCAUAUUAGGGCAUCCAUUUUUAGCAACUGGAGGGUAUUUAAUUAAUGUUAGAGAUGGCACGCUCAAGAUGAGGGUAGAUAAUGAAGAGGUGGUAUUUGAUGUUUACAAGGCCCCCAUUAAAAAUCCCUUAUAUAAAGAUUUAUGUAUGAUCAAUGUGUUUGAAAUGGAUGAGUGUGGGGUACCUAAGCAACUAAAGACCUCUUCCAAAUACCUGAUUGAGCGGCCUAAGAUGAAACCACCAAUUCCCAACAUGUUAAAAGGUAAAAGAGGUUUGAAACGAAUGAAAAAAUGGCUCCAAAAAGGGUGUAAAAGGGUGAAGAAAUAUGGUUGAGUUGAUAUGGGUCGUGCCACGACACUAAACUAGGCGCUGCUUGGGAGGCAACCCAAGUUAAUUAGGUAUGUUUUAUUUUUAGUUUCUUUUAGUUUUUAUUUCACAUGGUUUUUGUUUUGGUUGAGUCACAGGUUAAUGGGAAGUCUGAGUACCAUAAACUUGAGCUUGAAGUAUGGAAAAGAUUGAGUGUAGGGUCUCAUGGAUCCCAUUUAUGUGUGAAGAUGCUACUAUCUAGGACUAGAGGCCUCAAGGAGUAUUUCUAUCUCUUACCUUUAAAUUCACUUUGGGGACAAAGUAAAUUUUUAAGUGUGAGGUGGGGAAAUUCCCAAAAUUUGGCUCAAUUUAAAUUUUUUUGUGUAAGAUAUUUUUGUUGGUGCUAUUUUUUAUUACAUGAUGCAAGUGUUUUAUUUGUUUUGUUUGGUAAAAGCAUAUUUUUUGAGUGAAUUCCUACUUUUGAGACUCUUAGGCUCAAGUUUGUGACUCUAGUUUUGCAGCUUAAUUUUGAAAUUAUGCUUUUGUUUGGUUGGGAGUCUAUGAUGAUCCUAUUGAAUUGAGCAUGUGCCAUAUGUGGUGUGAGCUUUUUGUAUAUUCCUUGUCGCAUGUGAUGUCUAGAACUUGCCCGGUGUGUGUGUGAAGCGAAAUAAAGAAUAUGGGUUUAGGAGAUGAUUUAGGCAUUUCUUUGAUAGCCUUAGUUUAUACUUUCUAUUUGUCCUACCCUUUGUGCAUUAUCCUAGUUAACCCCCAUUGAGUCUUUAGCUUAUUUUAUUUGGUAGUCUCAUAUGUAUCCUAAUCCCUUUCUUUGAUAGGCCAUAAUUUGAUUAUAAAAAAAGCUCCUAAGUGCUUUAAUGAAAAAAAAUUGAUGUUGUAAGAAGUUUAAGAAAUUGACGAAGAAAAAGGUGAAAUUGAUGCACCAAGGUAAUAGUUAUUGGUUUUUAUAUUUGAUGAGUGGUGGAUGUUUUUGAUAUAAAUGAUGUUAUAAAUAUUGUCAUGAUUGUGAAAAUAGAGAAAAAUUGAUUCUUGUGGUAGUAAACUAUGCGUCCACCAAGUGUUUGUGAAAAUGCUAAAAAAAGAUGGGGCAAAAAUAAAAGGUAUGGGUGGAUGGAAAAUGUAUAAUUUGGUUCUUGGAUAUUGGUUUUAAAUGAAUAAUGUAGUGUAUUAAAGCGCUUAGAGAGGUUAGUCACUAUUCUCAAAUAGUUUCUACCCAUCCCUUAGCCUACAUUACAACCAGAAAAAGUCCUAAUUGAUCCUAAGCUUUACAUUCGACUAUUAGUGGAGAACUACACUAAGGGAAAGCCUAUGAUUCAUUGUGUGUAACUUGUGAAUUAUUUGUGAGAGUGAGUGUAACUUGAUUCUUAUACCCAUCAUGUUAUGAAUUGUGUAAUUUUGAGUGAUUGUAGGUAACUCUCUUGUUGUGAGGGGCACAUAUUUGAUGAAUGUGGGUGAUUUGUAUGAUGUUCUUGAUUGAAAUAUAUGCAUGAGUUUUCUACUUUUGGAGUCCAUUCUUGAGGCUAGGAUGUUUUGGAAGUAGGAUUCUUGAGCUUUCAAUUGUGUAUAACAUGCUUAGCAUUGUAAACUUGCAUUUCGUUUAGUCAUUGUAGUGCUUGCUUGAAUUAUUUGCAUAUAGUAGAAGUAUGGAGUCUAUUCAUAUCAUGGUAUUUAUAGUUAAGAUUUGUUCGAGGACGAACAAAGCUUUAAGUGUGGGGUGGUGAUGUUGGGUGUAUUUAAGCACUCUAGCGUUACUAUUCUAGUUUUUUUAGCGUUGUUUUGAGGAUGAUUCUUGUGAUGUAUGUGUUGAUAAUGAUAAAAAUGAGCAUUUAUGUGUCCAAAUAGGUGGUUACAAUGUUUAAUGGUGGUUUCACAUGAGUUUUGAUUCAAUUUGAGCAUUUAGAGUUCAACUGAGAAAACUAGUGUAACUAGCUUGAGCUAGGUGUUUUUCUAGUCUAUUGUGUUGAGUUUUAAUGUAUUUUACUGAGUUAUUAAGGUUGUUAUUAUGUAUUUAUAUGUAAAACAACAUAGUUAUAAUGUUCAAGGGUCAAUUGAAUCAAGAAAAGAGUCAAAACAAUGAGUUAAAGCUCAAUGUGAAUUUUGCCUAUGCUUAGCUCGUGUUUCUUGUUCAUCGGUGAGGAUGUUGUGUUGUUUUGAGCUCCAAAUUGUUGUGUUUAACGCUAUAAGAUGAUUUUUAAAUAGAUUAUGAUGUUAUAUGAAGUAUAUACAAGCUUUAAAUCAAGUGGAAACAACUUAAAAGGGCUUGGAAAUGGCCAUGAAAGCACAAGAUGCAAGCUGGAGACGAAUUUGGACCCCUGGAAAUUUUUGAGUGCGUGUGGAGUGUGCGUUUGUCCAAUUAGUGCGUGAAGAAUUCCAUUGAAUUCAAAAGGGGCCCCAAAUGGUGAAACACUGUAUAUCAGAGCCGUUCUAAUUCGUAAUUGUCCAAAAAUAGUGUCUCAACGCGAUUGCACCACUUAGCGCCAAUGACCGAAAUUGGGAGUUAAGUGCCCAGUUGUUCCCAAGAUGCCAUUUGACACUGUGGCGUGGCGCACCAAUGAUUAAAAUUGGGAGAAAAGUGCCGAACUGAAGUAAAAUAACGUGGAAACCUUAUCCAAGUAGGGUUAUGACUUAUAUUCUAUAAAUAUAACGUCUUAAAACAUAUUUUGGGACAUCUUUGAACCCCUAGAUCACUUGGAACAACAUUGGAGGCUACCAAAACUUCUUUUUAGGUUUUUAUUUCUUUAAUUUAGCUUUUUUUUUUAUGCUUUUAAUCAAUUGGAUGUUGAUUAUGGCUAUGAGUGGCUAAAAACUCCCUUUUCGGGGUUGAAGCCAAGAACAUAAUUGUUAUUGCUAUGGAUUAAGUUUGUUUUCUUUGCUUAUAAAUAUUGUUUUUUUUUGUUUAUUCUCAUUUUAACUAUUAUAAGUAUUCGCGACCCUUACAAUACAUCUAUUUUCAACCUUCUGAACUCGGGAGAGGGAAUAGGGCGAUAAAAUAUAAGAAUAAGCGGAGUAUGGUUCUCGAUUCUUUAUAAAAUAAGAAACUUAAAUUAGUAUCUAGAACAGGGAUGGACUUAGAUACCUUACUUGAUUCAUAUGUAGGAUGAUAUUUGUGGAGAACUUAAGUGAAUUAGUACAUCCCCGCUUAACUAUGUAGGUGUAAGGUUCAACUGAGGUAAUAGAAGAGGUUAGGAAACCAUAAUCAAGCAAUUAACCCUACCAAUCAAUAACCAAGAUAAGCAAGUUAACGAAUGAAAUCCACUAGCAUAAUAUAACUAUACAGAGUGCUUCAAUCCUGGGUUUUCUCCUAUUGAUUGUUACAAGAUCUUGACUGUACGCAUUAUUUAAUUUACUUGCAAUAUACAAACUCAAUUCUCUCUUUUGGUUACUCUCACAUCAAGUGAAUCUAAAUUGUGAACUAAAAUCAAAUCAUUGCCAAAUCUAGUCUCUGUGUGAUCGAUAACUCGGCUUUCUUGAAGGCCACUAUAUUACUUGGUAGACCACGUACACUUGCGUGUGUGCUUUGGCGCUGUCAUGCCCAAAACUAGUUUUAAAGAUUAAUUUAUAUGAGUUUACAUGAAUUGCUAUUAGGGUUCAUACCCAAAGUAUCUUGUUUUGAGUUUUGGAUUUAUAAAGUGAUUGAAGAAUGAAAGUCCAUAUUUGUCUUGAUUUAAAGAAUCCGCUUUUAUGAUUUGAACACCAUGAGUAUGAUUUGAGACAUUGAUUACAGAUUUCUAAUUGAGUUUAAGUAUGAUAUUGUUGAAGUAUUUCAAGAAGUAUAUUGAGCAUGAUGUUCUACUAUGAAUUUGCAUGGGCUUAAAGCAUGGGUUUUAAGACCUAAGAUUUAGUACUGAUAUUUCAAGAAGAUUAUGAUUUUAAGCCUCUUUGAUGAUUAUUUACCAAGAUUCAAGAAAGAAUUGAUG
rnacentral:lncRNA from 1 species